ACCCAAAGUUCCUGAGGAACCUGAGGUACUCAAGGAAGAACAACAAGAAGAGCGGCGAGGCUGAGGCUGAGGAGUAAGCUGGUGGAACUUCAGCUGAUGAAUCUCUCUUGUAUCCCUAGGGUCUGCUAGAGUCAUGAACUUCAUUCUCUGUUCUGUAUUAUCAAAGAAGUUCGCUCAGUUGGUACCAAAGUUUUGUUUGUCAUGCUGCCUGGCUGGACUUGGAACCCUUAUUUGCAGCUUAUGAGAAUUGGGAACCCCAUUGCCUUUUUUGUGAUGCCUGUUAUCAACAGUUCGCCGUUUUCUUCGAUGUCUUAUCAUCUUGUGAUAUGAGGAUGCGACGUUUGAGCACCCUCUCUAAGCAGAAAGGAAUGAGGGCACAUAAAUAAUAGAUCUUUCUAUUGGAAAAAAAAGGCUGCUCAGCGUGCGUUCCGGUCUCAACACUAGUUUGGAUCCCUACGCGCAUCCAAAAAUUGCGAUGAACCUAAACGGGGCCGAAAUCUGAUCUCGCCGGCUGGUUAGGCACAACUCUCGCCGGCCGGCCGCUCAGUAGUCAUACCUCGGCGAUUGCACGCGCAAUGUGUGUGUAUGGUAGACACCCGUCGUGUGUCUGCUAAGCAUUCUUUGACACUCAUUUUUUUUUUCUCUGCAGAUGAGCACGUAGGCCCAAGGAGCAGACCCAAGCUUUGUUUCAGGUUUCCCUCUUCUCACUGUUCUCCCCUAGCCUGUUCGGUCGUACAUGUUUUGCAUCUGUCAAUUAACAUACAUUGGCUCGCUGUCAAUUUCUUGUGUUUUGCAAGCAGCGCAAGGGGUUCUCUGCUGUUUCUGGUUUUCAGGAAAAAUCCAACAACCGAGCAGUUGGAGAAGCGAAGGCCGCGAGAGACACUUGCGGACUGAAGUGUCUAAGCAGGUACCUGGUGCUACUGGCGCAGUUUCUUAUCAUUCAGGUUUGUGCAUCUUGUUUCAUUAUUUCAAUCUUGUUACUUUCAUGUUCAAAAAAAUAUAGUACUGGGCUACUGGUCUAUCUAGCAUCCCCAAAUGUGCUUUCUGUUUUUGUCAGUAUUACAACACUAUGAAUAUACACAAAAGCCACUAGAAAUACAUUAGCACUGUUCCAUCACUACACAACUUGGAACGAUGCACUGUAAUAGGAAGUUAAGACUGCAAAAAUUAGUAUGGUGCUUACAAUAGGAUACCAGUAUACCAUAGAGAUUCCAUGGUGCCCUCUAAUCAAGAAAAAAAACGUCUAUACUUCCUUCACCAUAGCUGUUUCAGUGAUUUGCAGUUGCAGCUAAAUCAACUGAAAGGCUCUCCACUACCGAUUCCAUCGUUGGCCUUUUCUUCCUCUCUUCCUCCAAGCACGAGACAGACAACUUGAUCAAAGCUUUUGCUUGCGAGUAGUCGAAUUCACCACCCAGUCUGAAAUCCACAAACUCUGCUAUCCAAAAGGGUUCCUCCCUGUCCAAUCUGUAGGAAAGCAUCUUGAUGAACUUCUUCAGCAUCACAUGCACCUUCUCAUCUUCACCUUUGACCAAAUCAAAAACCCGUGUUCCUGACACCAGUUCGAGAAGCACAACUCCAUAGCUGUACACGUCGACCUUGGCAGUUAUCGGUAAACCAGAUAUCCACUCUGGAGCAAUGUAACCUAUGGUUCCUCGUGCUCGUGUUACAUUUUGAUUAUCCCCAGAUCUGUUGACCAACUUUGCCAACCCAAAGUCAGUGAUCUUAGGCUCCAGAUCCUGGUCCAAUAAAAUGUUCUCAGGCUUCAGGUUGCAGUGAAUGAUCCACUCUAGGCACUCGUGGUGAAGAUAGGCCAGUCCCUUUGCAACACCUAAGGCAAUGUUGAAUCUCUGAUUCCAUUCUAAAGAGAUUUUACUUUUGAACAAUAUGUGUGCCAACGAUCCUUUCUCAGCGUACUCGAGGACUAACAUCCUGUGGGAUCUUUCUGAACAAAACCCAUAUAUUCUUACUAGGUUCAUAUGGUUGAUCCUCGCAAUAACAUGCAACUCAUCAUUGAAUUCUUCUCUGCUGUGCCUUAUAUUUCCCAGCUUUUUUACAACCACCAGUCGGUCAUCGUCUAAUAUGCCUUUAUAGGCAACCCCUGUACCUCCCCAUCCAAGCUCAUGUGCAAAUUUUUCAGUUGCCUUAGCCAGCUCUCUGUAGCUAUACAUUCGGAAAUGAUUGGUCAUCAUCUUGUAGCCUUCCUCAGCUGCCCAUACUUGUGAUGACUUCAAUUCCCUCCUCAAGACAAAGAACCAUGCAAAUGUGAAAAAGAAAACUUCAAUAAUGAAGAAUGCACCAAUAAACCCAUAGAAGUAGAACCAUUUUGGCUCCUCCUGACUAGGCUUAUGUAAGUAACUGGGAUUUUGUUCCGUGAAUAUUGUGCUUAUAGGACCACAUACAGGCUUACGUGGUGCAGAAUCAAGCACAUUGGACUGCGGAAUCUGAAGUUUUGAUGUGUCCAAACUUGAUGGGAGUUUGAUGUACAUUGUGCGCACAGUGGGCGUUGGGAAAGACCUUCCAUUGAAGAGAAGAGAUUUUGGAUAGCACGUACCAUUUCCUUCCUGAUACUGAAACCCCUUGCAGGUGCAGUCAUCUCUGCAAACGUUCUGACAGAUUUCUCUUGACACUUUUUCAAUACGUUGCUGAUCAGAUCCCCAGUAAUCAGUGUUUCGAAGUUCCAAAAAAGUCAAAUUUUGUUCCCCUUGGCAUGAUAUAUCAAAAAUAGGCAUGCAACCUUGUGUCCAGUUACCUGGGUUCCUCAUCUUAUAGCCAGGCGGGCAAGAACAUGUCGGUGCGGGCGAGUAGUGGCAGAUUCCAUAGGGGCCGCACAACCCAUGAGUCAUGCAUGGUUGGAAUUCAGCAAUCCAUGAAACUGUCCAUUUUUUGUCUGAAUUAUUCAAGCUGUAGAGCCUAACAUUCCCAUCAUAAUCCAAUUUAAGCCUCCUCUUAAUCCCAGCGCCCGUAUCAGAGGCAUAACGCACACGACUACUCUUAGCAAAGUCGCUCGAAAAGAUCUCCCCGGAGUCAUCAAGGCUUGCUAUUCUAGUACUGUUGUACAAGUUUCUGUUGUUCUCGUAGUACAUGAAAUCAGGAUCUGGCCAGUACACGCUGGUCAUGUUGGCAUUAUCGUAUAUGAGCGACAGCAUCGACUGGUCGCUGAAACGGAAGGUGUAGUGGCCGGGAACAUGCAACUGAUCAGUGGUGGAGACUAACUUGGACGCGUCGGUGAUGCGCUGCGUGGGGAGGAACGUGUCGGUCGGCGAGUCGAAGCUCUGCCAGACGACGUCGCCGCUGGAGUUCUUGAGGACGAGGUUGCCAGUGUCCAGCAGCUGGGCGUACUCGGCGGACUUGGCGUCGGCCUGCCACACCACCGUGCCGUCGUAGUCGGUGAGCACCAUGGCGCCGUCCUUGCGCAGGGUGGCGGCGGCGCCCCAGGCGUGCACGGGGGUGCCGCGGUUGGCGCUCCAGACCACGGCCGCCUCGUCGUCGGUGUACCAUACCGAGAAGGUGAAGGCGUCUUUGUAGACGCGGUGGAAGCCGCAGGAGAAUGUGCCGUCCGGUGACCGGAGGGUAUGAGUGUCGUGGUCCUCGACGGCGAUCGAGGAUUUCCGGCGCAGGGUGUCGCGAGCUGCGGCGCCGAUCAGGGGUGGAGAGGAAAGCAUCAAGGUGGAGAGGAGGAGAGCGAGGAGCUGAGCGGACAUGGCCGGCUGCAUGGGUGGUAUGAGCUUCGGAGCUGGGAUGAGCAUGGCUGGACUAGUAGUACUUCAUUGCAGGUGCAGGUGCUUCAUUUUGAAUUGUAUAUGGUUGUUGUUGUUCCUGGUCAAAAACAAACACAGGGCCGCUGGAGCCACGGCGUGUUGGAAUAUUUCUUUGUAGCUUGUGACUUUAAUUUGUAAAACUUAUCCAGCAAGCGGAGGAGAUGAACUCGUAUCUAGUUGGACUUUUGCAUGCCGACGAGAGAUGAAAAAUUGAUGGUAUGGCAAAACAACCGAUUGUAUCGGCAGGCAAAAUCGCUCUCUCAUCUCCAUGGAUGAUCACGAUGCUUCACACGAUGACUUUUUCAUCUGAUGAUUCCGACCGAUCGAGUUGUUGGAGUCCUCAAGGAAGCUCGAGGAUCAGGUCAGAGGGAAGUCACUGUCGCACAGGGACAAGGACUUGUGUGUUCUGACGACAAUACUCUUUACCAGGGAAGCAUAUAGACAGACAGACAGAGAGACAGACGUAUGCAUGGCUCCCGUAGAGAAAGAGAAUGACUGAAUGAGAUAAGAUACAAAUACAAUACGACGUACGACAAUGACAUUAGCUUGAGCCUUGAGACUCGACUACUCGAGAGUAACGGACGUUUCAGACGUGCCAUCGGAAUAACCAAUCAUGGUCUGGAUGGUUUUACUAGCAUUCCACGGAGUACUUAGCAGCGGCAGUACGCUCCUCCCUCUCUGCUCUGUGGCUCGCCGGUUCCCACCGUACGUACGUAUAGUACGCGACCUCCCCUGCCUUGUCAGGUUGUCUUUGAUGGAGCGUGGCUGCUGAAAGCGACCCGAUGGUGCUGGCUUGCUUUGUUCGACUUCUCCAAACUGGCAAACUGACAACCGAGAACCGCAUGGAAGAGUCACCAUAGUACAUUAGUACUUCUCUCUAACUUGAUCUUAAAUCAAACUUAUUCAACUUUAAUCAAAUUUACAUCUACAGCACAAAAUAAACGCGCUACAUUAAGACGUGUUUCGUGGUUGAUUUAACUAAACUAUUUUGAUUUGUAGGUGUUGGUGUAUUUUUCAAUAAACUUUUUCAAAGAUAAGGAAGUCUGACUUACUAAAGUUUAAAAGCCUUACAUUUUGAAAUAAAUAUAGUGGUAUGUUAUUAAGCGUGAUGCGGGUUAUUAAAGUAUGUUAUUACUGGCUAUGUAUGCUAAUAUAACGAUGACAUUUUGUCAAGGAUUGCUGCGCUUGGAAUUUUAUACCUGUUGCGAGAAAUGCGACUUGAAUAGAUAUCCCAGCUGCUUUCAUAUGUGCUUCAAACUAUUGUCGAUAAGCAUGUACUCCCUCCGUCCUAAAAAGAAUGCAACUCUCGCUUCUCAAGAAGUUAAGUAGUUUCAAGUUUGAUCAAAUUUAUAAAAAAAUACUAAUAUUCAAGUCUCUUACAUGAUUAAUCUAUUGAUAUUUAUUUUACACCAUAAAUAUUAGUACUAUUUUGUAUAAAUUUGAUCAAAUUUAAAAUUGGUUGCCCUUCUUAGGAAACUAGAGUUGCAUUCUUCGAACUGCGAAGCGCAAGAUCCGGCCAGAGGAAGUAGCUGUCCAAUAUUAAGAUCCGUAUGUCUAGUCUUUCCAAGGUCACAAGUGGAAUGCAUGCGUGUAUUUAUACGGAUGAAUGUGCAUUAAAUAUACGAGUAUGUGCGUUUGUCUUUUAAAAAAAGUUAUAUUAGGGAAUAAUUGGAAAGGCACUCAUAUGUCUCUCGGUUAUUAGUACUAAAACUAUCAUGUGAGCCCAGGUCGCUCUCUUACAGCCUGAUCUCGAUGCUUCACGAUGACUUUUAUCCUCAAGGAAGCACGAGGAUCAGGUCGGGCAGUCGCUGUCGUUUACCGGGAGAAGGGCUUUGUGUUGAACAUACUGUUUCGGGGAGAAUUGUACUAGUCUUCGAGUCAUAUGUCAUGCUGGGCCAUGGCUACGUGGAUGAACGAGAUAAGACAACAAUUGCGUUAAGCUUAGAAAGGAAUGAACGUAUCCUAACUCUGUCUUCGUUUCCAUAGUAUUUAAUACGAUAUCAAGUAAGCAAAUUGCCAAGAUAGUAAUAAAGUUAAUAAGGAGCAUGGGAGAAAAGAGAAAAACAUAUUUCUCAUGCAGGAAAUGGUUUGGAGGCUUGGAGCCCGAUCUCUAGGGAUGGCAACGGGGACAUAGUGUGAUCUCUUUCCCCACCCCCAUCCUCUUCAUGAUCUCUUUGAGAGUGAAAACUACCCAUAAACCCUAUGAUGAGUUGGGAAUUCAUGGUCUAGCAUAAACACGUCUUACGUGGAUGGAGGUACCCAUAAACCUUAUGGUUUUAACAUGAGAUAGCGAGCAAUGCAAAAAGGUUUUUCAGCUAAUUUGCAUCGCUCCCUCUAUUUCAAAAUACACGUCAUUUAGGAUUAUUCUUGCUAGCUAAAUUUUAAAACUAGCUUUGAGAGUAACGUAGUACGUUUUGAGACAUGCGCGUUAUGGUUGAAGUCUGGAUGGUUUUACAAUUCCUUUCCCUCUCUGCUCUGUCUUCUUCUUUUUUUUUUGACACGUUGCCAACUUGCCAUGGCUUCCUGAACGACUCCUCCUCCCGCUGCCCACCGCAGUACACACGAGCCGCACGCGACCUCGCCUGCCUCGUCAGGCUGAGACGACUUGUGGUCGAUCGGGGGCAAAAGUUUGGAAGAAAGCUGUUCGGACAUGUGAAACGACACCAAGUUUUAUUAGACUUCUCCAAGUGAUAACCGACGUCAUGUAAAAAUGAUCGGAGAGCCGUCAUGUGUACUUAACAUGUAGUUAUUGUUUGCUUUGGAGAAAAAGUAAUUAAUACUACACAUAGAGAGAAAUGUUACAUGAAGAGAGGAGACGUUUGUAUCUUGGGUCCUUAUUCUUAAUCGAGCGUCUCAGCAAGGCUUGGCUGGUGGAAGUGGUAUUUAAGCGUUAGUAGUCUAAAAUUUUUAGAAGUAUGUUAUUAUUGCCUGUGUAUAUAACCGGCCUGGCAAGGAAAUUUUGUCAAGAAUUGUUGCACUUGAAAUUUUUAUAUCUGAGGUGACAGAUGGCGUACCCUGGAUUGAUAUGCGAAGACAUGCCGUUUUCGGGUGCGCUUCAAACUAUUUGUCAAAAACUGUCUCUCGGAACAGGUCAGGGCGCGGCAGUCGCUGUUGCUACAGGGAUAAGUACCCUGGUCUGAUGACAUACUGUUUCGCGGAGAAUUAUACUAGUCUUGUAAUCUUAUAUGUCAUGCUGGGCCAUGCCUUCGUGGAUCAACGAGAUGAGACAACAAUUGCGUCAAGCUUGAAAGCAGCGUACGUAUCAUUAGUUUGCACUCCAGGAGGCGUAAUCACACGCAAAUCUAGUGGGCCGUGGGCAAGGAAAUUCAACUGACAGAAAUCGCUGCAAUUGACUUUCAUAUUUGAUUGCUAUUCAUCGCUGCAACUUAUCUGACAGAGUUACUAUUGUUCAAGGAAACCUACGCACAUAAUGUGCUGCAGAAAUUGAAAUGGCCUGGAUGAAUAUAAUAAUAAGGUGACAGAUACGCUUGAAUUAUUAUUAACUGAUCCAGGAAGUUUUUUAAUUAAGAAAAUCUUAAACAUUCACAUGUAAAUAUCUAUGACCAUAUAGAAAUAAAUCCGGCCACAUAGUCAGAAGAUACAUGAGUACUUAGACUCUUCAGGAUCUUGCGCUUUAAAAUUUUUCUAAAAAACUUUGUAGCGGUAUUAGAUGCGUCGAAACUUCCGACACUGUGCCGGAACUUCCGACACUAUGCCGGAACUUCCGAUACAGGGGCGGAACUUCCGAUGGCAGCAAAUGAGCUAAACGAAAUUCAAAAUAAAACUUGAAACUGCCAAUUCUAUUUGAAUCAAAAGAUUAGAAGUGAUGAAUAGAGACUACUGCAGGUGAAAUAUAUAAGAGUAACUUUACAAAUAUAUAGAUCGGUACAAAACAAGCUUCUAGGUCAAUAAGAACUAGAGGAACACAACAAGCACAUGAGACAAAGGAUUUGUUUACCGAAGUUCACUUCCAUAAAGGAAGCUACGUCUCCGUUGAGGAGCUCACAAAGAGUCAGGUCCUCACUAACCCUUUACUUCUCUCAAUCAACCACAAAGAAGGAUUGAGUCACUUACUAUGAAUCCUCACAAAGAGGAUGGGUGAUACAAACUUUCCGGACGCACCACACAAAGAGGGCGCUCAAACGGGCGGCGCUAAACCAUCUAGAAGCAAGCUUCAAUAGUAACAAACGCGAAUCAAAGGCUGAAGAUGCUUCAAGUGCUCUUGAAAUGAACUUGUUGAACCUCACACUCAAAGCCCCAAGUCUCACACCUCCAAUCCUUCUCUCACCUAAGCCCUAGCUCAAAACUCUCAAAGAUUUAGCUCAAGGAGGGAGUGAAGAGGAGUAUUGAAUGCUCAAGAGGGUGUUUGUCUCGGGUUAGGUCAGCAACAAAUGAAGGGGGGCUGAGGGGGUAUAGAUACCCGAGCCCCAAAAACUAGCCGUUGCAGUGUUGUUAAGUGCUUGUCGGAACUUCCGACACUACAUCGGAACUUCUGACACAGUUCAAAUAAAACGGCUGGGAACCCCUUGCCGGAAGUUACUGGAAACUUCUGGUGCCUUUUAUCGAAACUUCUGACACAGGAUCGGAACUUCCGGCUCUGUUGAAAACUUCCGACAAGUGUCGGAUCUUCCGACCCCAUGUCGGAACUUCUGACACUCACAGAAACUGUGAGAAAUUAAAUGUGCAAGUGUGUGAGUGGUGUCUCUCAUGGGUGGUUAGCAUCUCAAACAAACACUUUGACAUCUUCAAGCUAUCCAUCUGCGUCCCCCUUUAUAGUAUACUCAAUUUCAAAAAUAGAAAGUAUAAAAAGGUCUUCUUUUAUGCUCCAACACCGUUCUUCAAUCAAAUUGAGGUUCUUUUCUUACACCUUUGCACUUAUUAGGAUUUAAACCUAUCAAUUACUCGAUAAAAUCAUUAGUCCCUUAACUUAUGCAUAUCAUCAACACCAAAAUCCACUUAGGGGGCCAAAUGCACUUUCAAUCUCCCCCUCUUUUUGUGAUUGAUGACAACACAAUUAAGGCUCACAUAAGACAUAUAUAAUCAUUUUGAAUCCAAUCAUAUAGGUGAGCUCUCCCUUAACAUGUGCAUCUUUCAAGAUAGAGACAAAAUGGCCUCAAAUGCCAUUUCCACAUGUUAAGCAUGCUCCUCCUAUAUCCUUGCAUUCGUGGGGUGCAAAGGUGUGAUAUGAAUAUCAUCGUGAUGCAUAUGACAAGAUUUAACACUUCAACAAAGUGAAAAAUAAAUAAUACACCAAGCCAUGAUCAUCACACAAGAAUAAAGUUCGAGAACCACACUAACAUAGCAAAUCAUGAAUAAGUCUUACAAACUUAAAAGUUCACUUGGCACACCAUGCAUCACACCACAUAAAAGUUCUUACAUGUCCACAAGCCCACAAACUAAAAAACUCAUAAAAAAAGAUAGCAACCACCACCACAUGGUCCAUGGUAAACUCACUCCCCCUUUGGCAUCAAGCUCCAAAAAGGGGAGGCCCUUCCAUGGCCAUUAGUCAUCAUCAUCCUCCUGAUCCUCAUCCUCAUCAUUACCCUCAUAUUCUGGAGUAUGAGCAGCGGGGAUAUCUUCCUCUUCCUCCUCGGACUCCUCGCGCCCACCCAAAUCUUCAUCAUAUUUUCCUUGGGGAGCCUCAAAGAACAUGAAGGGUUUUCCAAUUUUCUCCCAAGGGUUAUAAAGUAUCGGUGGAGGAGGAAAAUCCAUAAGAGCACGGACAGGAGAGUGUGGGAUGUCAUUCUUAGCCAUGAACUCCUUUUGCCUCUUUUUUAUCUUUAAGAGCUGCUCAUCCACAUACUUCUUGUGGGCAUACAUUUCUUCCGCAUUGUGGCGGCCUACAUUGAAGCAAGCAAAGAGACUUUGUGAUAGGAAGUUGAAGAUCUCUUUCUUCUUAGGAGCACGGGAAGGUGGAGGACCUCUAGAGCUAGAGGGCCUAUGAGAGGGUGAGGCUCCAAUAAAUGGUUCUUGAGAAGAUGAAGGCCCAUGAGAAGGUCUUUGUGGAGGUAGAGGACGAAUACCAUGAGAGCCAAUCUUGCAAAGCCGCUCAAUGUGACCCUUCUUUGGCUUGUAGACAGGAUGACCCUUGUCCGUCAAGAUCUCCAAACCUAUCACUGCGCUUAGUCAAUCUUUACCAUACACUCUAGCAACCCAAACAAGUGCAUUGAAACAACCUGUGCACCACCAUUCCUCCAAGCUGAUUUGGUACCGCCAUCCCAGGGACUCCAAACUGAUGCCUGAAGAGGAAAGCAACGUCAAGAAGCCGCAACACCUUCAAUGAGGAGAAUGAUGCAUCAUGGCACCGUCGUCGCCGGCACUAGUCAAGAUUGAUCAUGGCUUUCACCUGAGAACCUAGACACCCUGACCACCAACAAACGCCGCUGGCUACUGCCAUAGCCGGUAUACCUCGAGUUCCCAUGCACCCUUGGCGGCCGUCAUCGCCUUCAUGAAGCCGAGAAACGUCCGCCAGGAGCCGCCAUGGACCACGGUCGACGAAUCCACCCGCGGGGCACCGGAAUCGGACGAGCGGAAUCGCAUCCGCCGCCCAAGAAACCGGUCGCCGACCAUCGCUGCCCUGGAGCGUCAGGGAAGGAGAUCCGGACAAAGCUGGGAGGUCGCCAGCGCCGGAUCUGUCACCCCAACACCAAUCGGCCACCGCUCCCGCCACGGAGCCAAGAAACUCCCGCCUGGAGCCGCCACAGACUACAGCCGGGUGGAUCCAUCCGCAGGGCGAUGAAAUCAGCUAAGAAGAGCCGAUCUAGCAAGAUAUUUGUCCACCGAUGGGUAGCUCUCUCCAUGUACGAAAAGCUAGAUGAUGAUGCUUCAAGGCAACUUUUAACAUCAUUUGACGACCUACUAGAUGGAACACUGAAGUGUGAGAUGAGGCCAAGGCCAGAGCUGCGUUUAAAAGGUGCAUAGAUUUGUCUGUCCUCAUGUUGCAGUCCGGAACUCCAGAUGGGUUUAGGGGGUGUUUGGAAGCACUCCACUCAAAAAAACAGCUCCACUCUACCAACUCCAUAAAAUUUCCUGCCAAACACGUCGAGCUCCACAAACUCCAGCUCCAAAAAAAUGUGAAGCCAGGGGUCAGAUCCAUGUAUUUCCUGGAGUAACUAUGAGGUGCUCAAAAAUACCAAUUUUGUACCUCUUCAUGGAGUUGGGGGCUAUUUAUCACCAAUCCCACUGGUUGCACAAUUUCCCGAACCCCCUCCGACCUCCUCUUCUUCCUUGCGCCACACGAAGAAAAAGGUCGUGGAGGCCGAACACCUACAGGGAGGGCGCCGCCGUCGGCCAUGAACGGCGCCGGAGGACCUCCGCUGGGCCGCCACCCCCGAAAAUCAACUCCAAUUGCCGCACUGCCCCUAUCUCCUGCGGUGGCACCAGUCCGCACCGCUCCUGCCCUCCUGAGGCGGCACCGCCCCUGCCCUCUGCCGUGCCACCCCUGCCCCCUGCCCUCCUGCGGUGGCACCACCCCCACCCCCUGCCGUGCCGCCCCCGCCCCCUGCCGCCCCCUGCUACGUGAUUCUGAACCCUUGAGUUGUCUUGUUGCGUGCGAUUGCUACUUGUGUUGUUGCUGUGUUAGCACUGGCAGGUUGGGACGGGUGCUGGAUUGGUGGUGGCUCUGUAGCACUAUCAAUCUGAGCUUUGAGUUGGAUUGCUGCUGCGGAAAUCUGAGCUGCCGACGGAGAAGAAUUAUGCUAAUGGCCACACUAGUCGUGGAGAAGAUUGGAGAGAAGGCCGUGGAGGAGAUCAUCGAUAGUUCGGACCGUGCGCACCGCUGCUGCUCGCCGGUCGUGUGGCCAGGCUGCCACCGCGCAAGACCACGCGGCAGCGUGUCUGCCCGCCUCCACCACACGCAGGUCCACACCGCCACCAAUUCGUUCAUAGUGAGGAAGAGGAGAGAAGAGAGAAGAGACUUACGUGUGGGUCGAUUCAUAAUGGGUAAAAUAGACUAUUACAACGAGUCCUCAAGUUUCUGGAGGUGGAGCACUGGAAUCAGCCAAACACGUGCAGCAACUCCAUAUUUUUCUAAAGUUGGUAAAGUGGAGCUGAAAAAGAUGGAGUUGAUGGAGUGGAGUUGUUUUUCCAAGUGAGGGCUGCCAAACACCCCCUAGUCACCAAGCCAUCUGACAUGCAUGUGGAGUCACUGCACGGUUAAUUAUGAAAACUGGCCCAAGUAUGAUACUGACUGCAGGAUGCAUGGACGGUAUGUGCGGCCAAUCUGCAAGACAGACAUUGCGCAAUUAGAAUGAAACGAGCAUCACGCAAAAGAGCAAACAAAGUGUGUGACGCAUCAUGUGAUACGCACCUAUAGACAGCUUAGAAUACUUGCAAAGAUGAGAUCAUGUCGGCAGCGAUGCAGCAAAAGAACCAGCUAAUUUAGAGUGUAAAAUACAUGUGAUUUAGAUUCUUGCCAGCCAUCUUUUACAUGUAUCAUUAAUAAACAAUUAAAUAUGUGACAUAUGAAAGAGAUGCUACUACAUUCGUUAAAAAAUGUUACUAAAUUCACGAUGAAAAAAUGACAUUAAAUAUUUUAAUUAUCUCUGAAUUAAAAGGUAAUAUUUUUUUUGUAGAAAUUGUUGCUCAAAGUUUCUAACUCGUAGGCCUUCUCGAUGCCCUAAAUGACAUGUAUCCUACAUUGAAUGGAAAUAGGACUUAGAAGCUAAGAUGAUAUCUCAUCAAUAAUGAGGUGUUUGCAGUGAUUUCCGUAAUCUUAACAUACGGUUAUAGAGAUAGGACAUACGACAGCAAACUGUAUAGGAAUUAGCCGGGCUAAGCCUUAGCUAUUAUAUUUUUUUCCGAAACACGCAGAACGCUCGUAAACGCACGCACACUCAGUCAUAUGAAAAUACGCACGCAACUCUACCUUUAUGAGCACCUCUGAAAGAUUGAGCCGACAAAUCCUCGAGAUUGAUGAAGUCACCACUAGCAACUUGCCAUUGAAAGAAUAACGACGAUUAAAUUCUGGAAUAAAUCCAGAAAAAUAUGAACACCAGUGCCGAGUCAAGGAUUCGAACUUUGAUGGGCAAGUUACACCGCAAGAAACUUUACCAGCUUCGCUACGCUCAGUUCGCAACCUUAGCUAUUAUACAUCAGCAUACGCCAUUGUACUGUGUUCCUCACUCCUCUUUUUUGAGGAAAGUUUCUCACUGUUUUAGGCUAUUCUAGCGAUGUUCUCAUUGCAUUUGUUCAUCCACUGCUUGCAUGGGGAUUUUUUUUAUAUAUUUUUUACGAAUUUGCAGAAAUAAAUAGUCGAACCAAAAAUUUGUAGAAAUAGACCUAUGCCGCCAGAUGAAACGGCGGUAGGCCUGUAUAGCCAUUUGAAACGGCGGUAAGGAGUCUUACCACCAGGUGAAACGGCGGUAAGUCCCUUUACCCCCCAUCCGGCGGGCCGCCCACGGGUUGCAACGGUGCAGAUUUCAAGGCGGUGUCGCCGUUUCGUCUGGCGAAACUGGCGCCCCACCAAUUCAAAUGGUGGAAGCCACCCCUUUCCGCCGAAUGAGCCAGCGGGGCCGUGCUUAUAUAAGCCCCACGCAUAGGUGUCGGGGCGCUCGCCCCUUUCAUUUGCUGUGCGCCCGCCCGAGAGCUAGACAAAGAAGAGGAAGGGAGGGGAGGAGAGGGAAAGGAGAAGAAAGGAAGGGAGGGAGAAAGAAAGGGAGGGAGGGAGGGAGGGAGGGAGGUGAGAUUGAACGCCCGUUCCUCAUGUCGUUACAUGUAUUUUUUGUAAUGGUCUAGUUUAGUUAGUUUAGUGAAUAGAUCUAGAAGUAGAUAAAUGUAGUAGUUUAGAUAAAUGUAGUAGUUAGUUUAGUUAGUCUAUUGGAUUUAAGAUAUAGGAAAAUGAAGGUUAGAUAGUUUAGUGAAUUCAGCUUAGGGAUUUAGUUGACAGUUAAAUUAGGUUGUUGAUUCAGGUAUAUUAAAUUUAGAUGAAUUUUAUUUGCAAUGCAUGAUUAUAUUAUUAGAUUUAGUUAGACUUUUGUGCUUGUCGCGUAUAUUGACUAGGUAAUUAGCUAUGAUAGUAUCACGUAUACUUUGUAAAUGACUAUAAUAGUAUCGUGUAUAUUGAUCGGGUAAAAUAAAAUGAAUUAGUUUGUAAGGUUGGUUUACUCUUUAAUAGUAUUAGUGUCGAUGAUAGAAUUAAAUGAUUCCACCGUUGAAAUGAAGGCGUUGUUCUAGUUAACUGAUUUAAGUUAUUGAGAGUAAUUUGGACUGCUCGUUUCAUGUACGUUGGCAGGCAUGUUGGAUAGUUUAUAUUUUCAAGUGUUCUAUGGUCCGAGGGAGGUUAGAUAUGGUCCAAAAGGGUUAGAUUUGAGUGGAUUUCAGUAUUUCUGCAAAUAUUUACCAAGAGCAAGAGAGAAGACUUGGGAGGGCAUAUACAGGUGGCUUUGUAAGGAUUUCGGUAUUAAUAGAGAUCAAGUGGAUGUGUCUGUGAGGGCUGUAGUGAAGAGACGGCCCAACAUAAACUUUUGGGAGCUGCUCCCAUUUGAAGGAACCCCAAGCUACCAGGCUUAUGUAAAGGCUUGCACGAGGCGCGGUUUACCGCUCAUAUGGUAUGUUCAACUAUUCACAAAGGCUGGGUCUAGCAACCAGAUGGAAGAAGAAGUGGGAGGUGUUGAAGUUGAAGCUGAGGAAGAUGUGGAGAGUACUGAUAGGGCAAAUGAAGAAGUUGGUGAUGAUGAGGCAGAAGGGGGAGAUGCAGAGGAUGAUGUUGCAGCUCGUGAGCCAAAUGGGGAGGUUGAUGAGGGGGAAGAAAUUGCUGAGUUAGUUGAGUAGGUGGAGAGGGAAGGAGAGGAGGCUAAUGGUGCCAUGGAUCAUGACUCGUUAGAUGAGGAAGAUGCUUACCCUGUCCCGCGGAACUGGUCAACUUAUGACCAUUCCGCCCUACAGGUCAAUGUAGGGAAAAAUGUCCUUUGGGAGUAUAGGGAGAAUGAGGUUUGCAUGUGUGCUUUGUACCCUAGUAGGGAUGAGGUGAAGGCAGCUGUGAAGUGAUGGUCCACUUUAUCUUUGCAGCAUCAGUUUAGGGUGGAGAAGAGCAACCCAACAGUGUAUGAUGUCCGUUAUGUGAGAAAUGAUUGCACGCAUACAAGGGGAAGUGGAAGGAUUACUGGAAGGUGACUAGAGUGGUUGAGCACCAAUGCUUGCUGGAUGAAUUGGAAGGAACACACCGCAACCUCAUUGCUGAUUUUAUUGCUCAAUAUAUGUAUCCUCAGAUAGUGGAGAAUCCCAACUUCGAGUCCAAGUCGAUUGUUUGUGCCAUUGAUGAGAAGUUCAACUACAAGAUUAGCUACAACAAAGCUUACCGAGCGAAACAGAAGGCGCUGGAGAUAAAGUGGUGUACGUUCGAAGCAUCGUAUGACAACCUCCCUGUCCUGUUGCACACCAUAUGCCAGAGGAACCCAAAAAGCUUCUACGACGUGAAAGCCUAUCCAUGUGUUCAGUUUCCAAGAAAAUAGGUCCUGCAGCGGUCAUUCCUCUCCUUCGGUCCUUGCGUUGUGGCUUUCCAGCGAUGUUGACCAGCCAUUUGCAUUGAUGGCACAUUUCUGAAUAGAAGGUAUAAAGGAACAAUAUUUCCAGCUAUUGGGUCCGACGGCAACAAUCAGGUGUUGGCGCUUGCGAUCGCAUUUGUGGAGAAGGAGUCUGGAUAUAGCUGGUAUUGGUUCCUGGAGAGGGUGAAGAACAUGAUUGUGAAGGACACGAAGGAGGUUUGUCUCAUUCAUGAUCAGCACAAAGGCAUUCUACAAGCAAUCGAAGACCUACAAAAUGGAAGUGUGGAGCAUUGCAGGGUGGCGAUAUGGCCGGACUUAAUGAGUAGGUGGUGCAUGAGGCAUAUGGGUGCAAACUUCAAUAGGUAAUUCAAGAACAAGAGCCUUAUGACAUUGUUCAAAUGUCUAUGUAGCUAGAAUCAGGAGAGGAAAUUCAACCUGCUGUGGAAGAAACUUGACAACAUUACAAAGAAACAAUGCGAAGACCUAGCCAAGAGGCCGGUCAACAGCGAGGCGGACCACCCUAUGUCUCUGGAGGACGUCGGGCUCAAUGGUCCGAAUGUUAGGCAAAGACGGGGAAGGUCCAUCAUGAGAUUCUCAUAGUGUGUUGAGAAUGAGCCGAAGGAAAAGUGGGCAUUACUCUUUGAUGAGGGAGGUGCUCGGUGGGGUAUAAUGACUACAAAUCUAGUUGAGGUUUACAACUGUGUCCUGCGCGGUGUUCGGGGACUGCCUGUAACAACUCUGCCUUAAUUAGCUGUACUUAAACCUAAACCAGCUUGUUAGUCGCUAAGCAAAAGAGGUAAAAUGUCCUUUUGACCCUAAAAAACUCUUUUUGGAGUUAAAUUUUAAAACUUGAGUAUUUAUAUACAAACUUAAAUCUUUUGCCCAGAUAAGAGUGGUAAAACUUUUAAUUUCAGAUAACUUUUGUUAAAAGACCCUUUGGCUAAUUCGGAGUGGGCCACCCCAAAGUCGAUAGUGUGCGCUGCCCGACCUUGCCUCGACGCCAGCGCGCCCAGGCAUGUUCGCCCGCGCGUUGCCCGCUGCGUGGCCGCCGUCCACCAGCAGCUCGCCGGCGCCCUAUCCUCGAUGAGGAAGCGAUAGGACGGGAGUCUCAACGCCCAACCCACGCCCACGACAAGAUGGGGCGAGUGUCGUGCUGGCCAAUCGCCGGCCAAGCACAUCCUUCACCCCUGCCGCGCAUGCACGCCCGCCAACCGGAGCUUUGCGCGCUCACUAGAAAAGCCGCCAUGCCGCCAUCGUCCCACGCCUUCGCCCGCUCUCCCAACUAGCGCCCGCGUCUUCCUUUCCCUUGCACGUCACGCCACUGCCACACACCGGCCGAGCCGCCGCACCCAAUCCGGCGCUUGACGCGACCAGACACACGCUUGACCUCGCCAAUCCUCCCACCUGGCAAAACCGCGCUUGCCUGACACUAUCUCCCUUGCCCAAUGCCCGGAGGAUCCUGUCCCUGGAGCUCCGCUUCUCCGGCCAAUGGAGGCGUCGACCAAUCACCGCCGCGACAGAGCACUUCCUUCUUCCUCGAUCUUAUCCUCUCGCCCGCUUGAGCUUGCUUCCUUCCUCCAAACACUUUCGUGUAGCUAUAAAAGGGGUACCGAAGCCUUUUACCGGAGUCCUCUUUGCCAUCACCGCCUUUGCCGCUCUACCUGCUCUGUUCUUCUCAACCGCACUCGCCGCCGCCUGAGCUCUCUGUGGAGCUCCCCCUUCCGCCCAACACCGCGCUUGGCCGACACCACCCAUCGCUUCACCAUCCUCUCGCACAGCUCUAGAGCUUGCUUGUUGUCCACGAGAAGCACCACCGCCCUUGCUCCAAGUACCAUGAAGCCGGUCAGACCUACAAGAACUGCCCUGCAACAACAUGAAGGUGCGUGUAGCCAAGCUGGUCCAUCAAGCGGUGACAGAAAUGCUGCGGCGCGUGGUCGGGGUUGACGUGCACGUAGCAACAAUGAUGGGCUUUUGUGAUUCAUGUGCUGUAUGUUUGUGAACUCGUUGUGUUUUAAGUUUGUGAAGUUGUUGUGUCUUAAGUUUGUCAAGUAGUUGUGAUCUAUGUUUGUGUACUUGUAAUUUAUGCGAACCUUCAGAUAUGUAAUGUACUAUGUAACCUAAAUUGUAGUACUAUUGUAACACCUGGUGUUUUAAGUCAUCAAAGGUAACUAAGAAAAGCCAAAAGCCAAAUUAUGGAGAAAGGGAGAAGAAAUUGGCUAAAAAUCAAAUUUGAGUCAAAUUUGACCGAAAUUUGAAUUUUGAAUUCAAAAUUCAGAAAAAUUUGGCAAAAAUAUGGAAUGAAAGGAUAAGAGUGUUUAGAACUUGGAAGUCAAGAUUGGGGACAAAAUCUGGUCCUAAAUAUCUCAAGAAAACCAAAGAAAGAAAUUAAAACAGAAGUGUAUUGUUCAUUACCCGACAAUAGGAAUUUCAGAAAAACAGCAGAAGUGUCCAUUUUGGAAAUUAAUUUCUGCCAAAUUCUCCAAAUAAGUGGACCAAGGCAACUGUACAGUGAUGAAGUAUGAACUUUGGACAAGCAUAUUGGGGUGUUGUUGAUCAAGAACAGUAAUGGGACUCAUUUCAAAUUAAGGCUCAAAUUCAGCACUUCACCACGGUCAACUUAGUUGCUGAACUCAGUUUUUGUCUAAGUCUGAAAACAGUGAUAAAUAGCCAUCUUUGGAGCUGAAUUCAGAAAAAUGGAUUGCACAAGGUAUGGGUGUAGAGCAUGAUUGGUCAGUAGUUGGAUUAAAAAGAAGAGAUUUAGGCCACUGAAAGUAUUUUCAAAGAUGGGUAAAUGACUCUGAUUCAGUGACUGUCGAACUGAUAGGGCAUUCAAAAGGGUUCAGUUAAAGUGAGAAAAGAAUUCAAAUUUCACCAAGUUGGGAUGUUUAUCUCGGGCAAGAAGCAAAAUAAAACUUGUAAAGCUCAAGUUUAUCUCCAACUUUGCUUAAGGGACUCGAGCUCGACCCUUGGAUGCAAAAUCGACCGUGGCUGAGCUCUGAAUGUUCGGGCUUCAAAAACCAAAGAGGGGGGGGGGCGACAGAGCCAAGCACGACGUGUCGCCGCCGGUGCUUCUGCCCGCUGUCUAGCUCGACAUCUAGGCCACCUCCGCGCCACGCAAGUCCCUAGCUAGGCCACGGUGUCGACCAUGCUCACGGUAAAAACUUCAUAUAUCUACCGCUCCACCCGCCGCUUUCACCAUCGGUUCUUUUUACCGCCGCUGUCCUCUCUGUCAAGCUGCCGCCGCCAAGCAAAAUACUCCCACCACACCGCAGCUCUCGUCGAUCCCCUCCGUCCACACCUCCACUCACACCCCACCAGCAACCCUAGCAACUUGUUGCCCAGCGCCUCUGUCGGUGUGCCCUACAUCGCCGUCAUUUUCGUCCGCCACCGCCGCACCUCCUGCUCACGGUGAGCACCUCCUUGCCAUCGUUUUCUUCCCGUGUGGACAAUCGUAGGUGAGUCCUUGGGGUACUAGGAAGCCGUAGAGGUAGUCGUCGGGGUAGGCUGCGCCGUCGUUGUGCUUAGUCGCGACCGACCGUUAGCGCCGCCGCCCGCCGCCGUGGAGGGAAUGGCUCCGGCCACCUCCCGGGGAGCUACCGCCGCGCACGGGUGCGCUAGGGCAUGGGGAUGCUUCCCCGGCCUAGCCCCAUCGCCGGUAGGGUGCCGGCCGGCGAGCCGCACCGCCCCCUGUCGCGCUCGAGUUUUGGCGGGAGGAGGAAGAAGGCUCUGGUGUUCGCGGGCUCGCGCGUCAGGGAGGAUAGGAGGAGGAGAAGGGCGGCCGGGCGAUGGCGUGUAAGUGGGCUGGGGGUCCAGUUGGCCCAAAAGCCAGUGCGGCCGAUCGGAAAAAGAAAAAGGUCGGGGGCCCGUGAAGUCCAGCAGGCCGGUAGGCCGGUGAGGCAGGCCGGUAUCGCGGAAGGAAAGGGAGGAAGAGUAGUGGGCCGUUGGGCUGGUGCCGGGUUAAGGUUUGGAAAGGAGAAAAGAAAACAGCCCAAUAAGCCCAAUAGGGGAGAAAGAGGCCGGCGGGUAGUGUGAAUAGGAGAAGGGGGUGGAUCCGAGCCUUGGGCCCAACACGCAAGAGAGGGGGUAGGAAGAGGGCGCGUGAGAAAAGUAGGCCGGAGGUUUUUCGGGAAAAAUUUAGUUUUCCUUUUGUAGAAUAAUAGAUUAAAUCCGGUUAUCACCAUUUAAAUCACAGAAAUUUCUAGGGGUAUCCAAAAUUAGUGAAACCAAUUUUGUUAGGAUUGUUUUAUUUUCCUUUAUGCAUUAAAAUUUUUAUACCCUAGGAAAAAUAGUAAAAAUUUAGGUAUUUGUUUAAUGCCUUUUCUUUAAGGUAUUUAAAUAAAUGAUUAAUCUUUAUUAAAUGCAUAAAAUAUGGAAUAACAUUUUCAUAAUCACAAAUUAUUGUUAACUCAUAGGAAAUUAGGUUUCAAGACUAGAAAAUAAUUAUAACAUUUUAUAAAAAUAAAAGAAAGAUCCUUAGGUAAGGUUAGUGAAGGAAAUAAAAAUGGUGGGUUAAUCUUUCGGGUUUUUGUGUGUUGGCUUGCAACUUUAUCAUGAUAAGUUGUAUAGUCCCUUGUUGGAUUGCAAGUUUAUCAUGAAGGAAAGUUGUAUAGUCUUGUAUUCAAAAGUUGCAUCACUAACCCCUGCAUAUGCUUUAUCAUAGACACCGAAGCACCGGAAGGGGAUUUCUCGGAAUUUUCAGAAGGAUCUCCGGAGUUCGAAGAGGUUAUUGAGUUGGUCCCCUAUGAGGCCAAUCCUUCAGACAGUGCUAACUUUUUUAUAGAACAAGGCAAGCCCCGGUGCAUUAUACCUAUUUAUUUUGGAGUCAUUAUUUCAUGUGUCCAAUUUUCAGUUAUUUGCUAUAUGAAUGCACUAAGUCUAGGAGUUGAUUGAAACCCAUUCUUGUGCAUUAUCAUACCUUGUUUUAAGGACAUCUUUGCCACUUGUUCAAACAGUUAGUGAGUAACCCAAGUCUAGAAAUGCUUAGUUGCCUAAGUAAUUGGUUCACCGAACCUUAAGGUGAAAUGUUGAGUCAUACAUGCUAAGUAUGGAAAGGUAGCUUGAAGGUUAAAAGGCGGACAUAAGCUAAGGGUGUAGUUCUGUCUGCUAGAUUAAAUUGGUUAAGGCCCGAUCGUUGUCUUAACCUUUGAUCAAGUGAAUGACAUCUGAUCACUUACUGGGUAUGGGACCAGUAAAGCCCAGUAGAUUAGUAAACCCUCUGAUCAGGAAUACUUCGUACCCGUGCUUGACGUGCUGGAGAUUGGCAGGGGCGUAGCCUGAAACUCACAUGGUGAUCAGGCCAGACGUGGGGUCCCAUGUGGGGGUGCGUCCCUGGGUCCGGGUAGUCUUAUUCCCAAUCAUUGGAUUUGCUAAUCGAAAGGUUGUUACGUACGACCUGGACAGUCGUAUAUAACUGGUGGUCAGGGUACUCUCCUGCAGGAUGUAAUUUGAUCCGGAUCGCCGCAAUUCUCGGUUAUGAAUGCACUUGAUCACUGUUGAGCAUCGUAGUAUGAACUCAUGAAUGCUAUAUCGUUCCACUAAUGUUUUGGUGUAUGACUUAAUAUCUUGUUGUUUGCAAAUAAUCUUUUUAGCAUCAUUUAGAAUGGUUAGGUAAUAACUUAAUCGAAAUAAAAGAUAAAGCUAAGGUCUCACUUUUAGUAAGCUCUUUGGGCAAAAGUGUGUCAGCCAAUACACCAAAAAAAAAAGCUAUCAUAUAGUUCCAGGAAAAGCUAUUAUAUUGGUUAGUCGGGUAAGCCUUGUUGAGUACCCCGUACUCAGGGUUAUCCCUUGUGGCUGUUUUCAGAGGCACCGCAAGAAUCCACCGAGGAGGAAGCCCCGAAAAGCUAGGGUAUUGUUACGAGUCUCGCAAUACCCUUAGAAGAAAUCUUGAAUGCUCAUCUCCCACCUGAACCGUUUAUGUUUAAAUCCUAGAACCUCUGUCUAACCUGCACUGUUAAGUUUAUUUCAAACUAUGUCUUAUAAUAACUCGUACCUCGCGUAUGUAUGUAAAAAUGUAAUAUUUGUUGAUGCUUUCCCAUCGCGGAAGCAAUCCUGGUGUAUGGCUAUGAGAUGUAACGUGGAUCAUUCGAGGAGUCCUAGGGACACUCGACGGACGACCGGACUUACACUGUUUUAAGUGCGUUUCGGAUAAUUGUUGUAUCGGCAAAACCAGUUUAAGUUGGACGGUUCCGCCACAACUAUGACAUUGUAAAAUUUGCAUAUCGUGUACUAUUUCAUUAAUGAUUCCUUUGCAAUAUCUCUUUUGUAGUAUGUUUUAUUUCAUUUACGUUUUGAAGUCGUUAUUAUUUUGGGCGAGUACUUAUAUUUUUCGUGUUGCAGGUAUGGCGCAGCCGGUUCCAAAGGGGUACUAGACCCCUGAGUUGCUCGACCCUACCUUGGACGGCCUGUUCACAGGUCGUUCAUGUCAGCCGUACGGGGUUCGAGGCUAGGCACGUUUCGGGCACGUACCCUGCUUUCAACGAUGCCUUUCGACGCCCGUUGGUUUCCGAAGUAUGUCGUACUUAGUUAAAUUUAUAUUGUAAGUUGUAACAUUACGUUGUUUCAACUAAUAAAUAUUAUGCAUGGCAUAGGUGUUGGGAUACGAGGUAGGCUACACUAGCGCAAUUCAAAAAUUCUACCGCGUAUAACCAGGAAGAACUACAGUAUAAGGAUCACGGGAUUACCACUCGACGCACUACUGGUGCGGAAGAUGUAGAUAUGCGUCGAUGCAGUGAAGACGAUCACGUAGUCGUACGUAGUCGAUCACGUCCAGCAGCUCCUCAGCAGCUCGUCCACAUGCAGCAAGAUCGCCUCCGGUACCGCGGCUCGUCGUCGGCUCGUCGUGGCUCGUCGGCGACUCGUCGGCGGCUCGUCCAAGUGCUGCAGGCGCAACACCUCCAAGGUAUCCACACGUGCAGGGAGGAAGCAUCGCAAGCCGGACUGCUAGAUCCGCGAGUUGCAACAGGCGAGGGCGUGGGAGGCGCGGCAGGUGUGUUUCGCUAAAAAGGUGUAAACCCUAGGGUGCCCCCACCCCUCUAUUUAUAGAGGUUCCUAACGGGCCUCUGGGUCCGAGGCCCAUUAGUACUUCUAAACCUAAUCCAACUCGGAUCAGAUCCGAAUUGGGCUUCCAGCCCCUUAAGUGUGUGACCCUAUGGGUUCGGAUACGUAUAGACAUGGCCCGAGUACUCCUACUCGGCCCAAUAGUCGGUAGCGGCCUCUAGCAAGACGUGCCAAUUCCUAUACGCACACGAAGAUCAUAUCAGACAAACCAUCACAACAUAAUAUACAUGCUAUUCCCUUUGCCUCAUGAUAUUUGGUCUAGCUUCAAGCCGACCGCUCUUUCUCGAUCCCGUGAUUCGGAAUCCCUUUGUAGGUUAACUCUUAACCGUACGUAGCAUGGCCAUGCAUUUUCGGAUCCGAUCACUCGAGGGGCCCAGAGAUAUCACUCUCAAUCAGAGAGGGGCAAAUCCCAUCUUGAUUGACCAUGUCUCAUAGCAUGCUUCUUGACAAACCCGAAAACUACCUUUAUAACUACCCUGUUACGGCGUAGCGUUUGAUAGUCCCUAAGUAGGUCGAUCCACAUCUAGAAUACAUGCGACAAUCUCAGGUCUAAGGACAAAGCGUAUAUGUUGUUUAAAGAUAGAACUACUUCUCGUGUUGGGUCAGUCCUAGCACAUGUCUCCACAUGUGUCCACAUUAUUAGUUUCAACAUCUCCAUGUCCAUGACUUGUGAAACAUAGUCAUCAACUAAUACAUGUGCUAGUCUAAUAUUCAUGUGUGUCCUCACAUGAACUCCGACUAGGGACAACUUUAGAAUAACCAUACAAGUAAAGAGUUUCACAUACAAUUCACAUAAUUGCAGAUCAAUUCAAGUAGCCUUCAAUGGAUAUUCAAUGAACACAACAUACAAAUCAUGGAUACAAAUGGAAUAUCAUCAUCUCUAUGAUUGCCUCUAGGGCAUACCUCCAACAAUAGGUUACGCGCUGCGGGCCUCCUCCCUCUAGCGAGGUUGGUUGAGGGAGACAUGAUCGACGACACUGCACGGCCCGGGGGAAGUCUACACGAUUCCACUUCGACAUGUCACUGCUAGCAGCUCUUCUGGACCGUGGCAGCCGGAGACGCACACCUUCCACCUCCCAGUGGGUGAGAUGGCCCCCACACUUGAGGACGUCUCGCUGCUACUUGGCCUUCCUUGUGCUGGGAGUGCCAUUGCCACGGUGGACAUGCCACCUAGCUGGUGUGAAGAGCUGUUGGGCCACUUUGUCGAUGUUCAGCGCAACGAUUGAGCCCAACCGUACCAGACCUUCAGCUCAACACACGGGCCCACGAACGUGUGGCUCUUGUAGUUCAGAGUGAGUACUUAGUUACCUGACUGUCCAUAUCGUUUUGUCUAAAUUUUGUGAAUCUCAACUAAUUGUUUUUGUUAUGCAGGCCGAGUACAUGAGAGAUGCCACCGCUGAUGCCACAGUUGCAGCACUUGGAGGCGUACCUGCUGUGGCUCUUUGAGUGGAUCAUGUUGUGCACGUCCCAGGGAAACUCGGUGCCUAAGCACCUACUUCCUUACGCGAGGGUCAUUUCGGAGGUCCCGCUCGACGACGUUCCGCAGUACAGCUGGGGUUUAGCUGUAUUGGCGGCGACCUAUAGGGGUCUUUGCACAGGCUGCUACAAGGUAGUCUCGAUGGAGCCAAUGUUCCUUGGCUGCCCGUUGCUGCUUCAGUUGUGGUUGUACGAGCGCUUCCCGAUAGGGCGGCCACGGAUUGACAUGUCCCCCUACCAGGAGCUGCCUUUCGACCACGACGACAUUGAUAGACCCACGAUGGGGUCGUUGUGGUGCUUGAGGAAGGUACGGUGCUUCACCUACAAUUAUUCAAUUCAUAUGAUGCAUACUUUCAUGUUUCAUUUUGUGAGCCUUGUCGUGAAUUUAUUUGUUGUAGGGAUCGUGGGUUAGGGUGCAGAUGAAGAAGUCAUGCCUGGACUUCAUCGGUCAGUUCGAUGCUCUUGUCGACACCGACGUGAGGUGGAGACCCUACACCAUGGACGAGGUGCAUGCUCAUGCCCCGCAUGGCCUCUCUUCGUUGUGCCAUCGGGACAUAGACUACUGAAGGACGAGGACUAUGCGGUGCACCGUGUCAUGAGGCAGUUCGGCCUGUACCAGCAGUCCCCACUUCCUGUUACGUCAGCAAUCUCGGCCGCCGUUCAUAGGUACAUCCCACCCUUUUCAUUCUCCUUGUAAUAAAGAUUUUUCGUUUAUCUAACCCGCUGCACGAUGGUUAUGUUAGGGCUACCCGUCAGGGUGGUGGUGGACCUGUGGCCCAGUGGGGUCCGAGGAUGGUUCAGUGGGUCGAGAUGUGGACGACCUCUUUAGACGAGGUGGUGCAGGAGGACCGUGCGUAUGAUGACGACGCAUUCGCAGCGUACCUUCGUUGGUUCUUACCGAGGACCAGGACGCGGGUCACAUACGUUCCAAGGUAGCCACCGACGGAGACCGUGCCAGUGACGCAGACAUACCCACGCUUGAGGGUCGUCAACUUCAACGUCGCGGUAAGCUUCUGCAUCAUCUCUGUUACUCAACUUGCAUCAUGUGGUGUGGCUAACUUGAACCCUGUCCUCUUGCCAAAAGUACGACGUUAUUGUAGAGGUCGCCGUUGAGCUGAGGUACGGCGUCGAGCACUUCCAGCAACGGACUAUGGAGCAACACGAGACGCUGUACAGAAGGGCCUUGGGCGCCUGCAAUAGGUUCCUGAGGGCCGUCAGCUGCUGUGGCGGUCGCGCGGACGUCGUGCUUCCACCACGGGCUGCCUACCCCCGUUCAUCCUCUCCAGCUCCUACUCACCAGGCAGGUACGUCCUCUCAGCCACCCAUUCGUCCGCCAUACCCCGGCCCCUGUACUGUACCACAGGCACAUGCACCAGCGGCUGGGCUGUCCUGGAGCCCACCGGCACCACCACCGUUUUUGUAUGCCCCCACCGGCCCGUUCACUAUUCCGCAGUACGUGAUCCCGAGAGGUACGUGAUUGUUAUUUUGUCAUACACCAUUGACAAAAUUGGCGCCCCAUUCACCUUACUAACUUAUAAUUUCUUAACACAAUCCCGCAGAUGUACGGAGCUUACAGUGGAGUGGGGCCCUCUUCUGCUACACUAGGCACAGAGCUACGCCACUACGGUGCGUGAUGAAUACAUGUUUUCUAUUCCGUUUUAAAUACGCAAUGAAACUAACAAUAUCAUUUCCUUGGUUGGAUAACAGGGUUCGCAGACUGAGGAGGGGCUUUAGAGGACUUCGUGGAGGAGGAGGGACAGAGGUCCAGCGUCCAUGCAUGGUGGACGAAAUGUUGAGACCCGAGCCUGAUGUGAUUGGUCCUUUGCAGUUGGGUGACGCCUCAGAGGCUCCUACACAGGACGGGACUCAGUACUUCGUGACACCACCUACGGCCGUAGCAGGAUGUCCACCUCGUGACGUUGCCCCACAGGAGCCCUUGACGUACGACCAGUACCAGACCAGAGCUGCGUAGCGGGCAGCGAGGCGUGGUCGUGGUCGCGGUGAGCCUCGUUUCAAGCAAGGACGCAUUUAGUGCGUACGACCUCCUUUAUCUUUUGUACGUUGGUGCAGGCUAUUAUGUGUACGAUUCUGUAGCAUAAGAUGUGUGCUCAUCCACAAACUACUUUAUAUAGGCCGGUGCAGGCUAUGAUGUUAUGCAGUGUGUUCUGUGUACGUUUUGAUAGCUAGGCCGGUGCAGGCUAUGAGGUCCAUGCAUGUCUGUUUCCAUCCGUUGUAAUCUCGCGGGAAACAACUAUGUAUCUAAUGGCCGGGAGUUAAAUCGUUUUCAAUUAUUUCGUUCAAUCACUCUACCUCUCUCAAAUUAAUGGAACUACAUAUUUUACUUUCAAAAAUGUCAUACAUAAAUAACGGAUAAAUAUUUAAAAUAGAGUUAUAGCCUCAAAUUACGAGGUUACAUAUUGCAAUGGAACUACAUAUUUUACUUUCAUAAAUAUCAUAAAAAAUAAUUAAAACAGAGUUAUAACUUGUUGAAACGGCUAUAGGAAGUUAUAGCCGGUUCACCAGCUAUAAAACCCCAAUUCGGCUGAACCGAAUGUUGGCCAUUUACCGCUACUUGAAACGGUGGUAGUCCGCCUACCGCUGAAUGAAAUGGCGGUAAGUGGCCUACCGCCGUCUCAACUGGCGAACCAAGCCACGACGGCGCAACCGGCAUCCUUCCGCCGUUUGAACUGGCGAAAACAGUCCUACCGCCAUUUGGUCCGGCGGUAUAGGUCUAUUUUUGCAAAUUUUUAGUUCGACGAUUUAUUCCUGCAAAUUCAUAAAAAUAUAUAUAUAUAUAUAAACAAAAAGUUCGCUUGCAUGGCUUAUACUAUGUUACGUUCCUGAUGGGCUGGACCUCAAAGCUGGCCCAAGCCAAGGCACACUCUAAGGGCAGCUGGGCCAAACUCUCAUGGGCUACUGCCAGCUGAAACCACAAUUUUGCUCUCUGCUGCUGCUGAAAGCUCGAUUGAACCCCCGCCGCCGCCGCUGCCGUGCGGCAGCCAGCCGGCGGCGUCUGAGCUCAGCGCCGUUGCUUCAGUCUACUGCUUGCUGAUCGCUCCGCGAGUCGUCUGCGCUUGCAAUGCCAGCGACGGCGCCUCCUUCCCCGCCCACCCGCUUGCAUGCUCCACGCCGCGCGCAGGCGGCCGCCGCCGCCGCUCCCUGCCGCGCUCGCCGCCGCCUUCUUCGCCUCCAAGCCCCACCCUCCGCUGCCGCCGCCAGCGCCGCAGAUCGUCGACGCCGCCGUCUCCCGCUGCCCCUCAGACGCCCUCGCUCUCUCCUUCUUCCUCUGGUGCGCCCGCCGCCCAGGCUACUUCCACCCGCCUUCCUCAUUCGACCGCCUCCUCCCCGCCGCCGCCCGUCUCGCCUCCCGGCUCGGCACCGCCCCUGCCCUGCUCCGCGAGCUCCAGGGCCUCGGCUGCCCCAUCAAGCCCCAGACGUUCCUCCUCCUGCUCAGGCUCUACUGGCGCGGGGGUCUCUACCUGCUCGUGCUCGACCUGUUCGAGCAAAUGCCGCUCUGGGGGUUCCAACCCAACGCCUUCGCGCGCAACGUCAUCCUCGACGUCCAGCUAAGGACAGGCCAUUUCGCCGAGUCAGAGCGCUGUUUCCAGGACAACCUUUUGCCCAAUUACCUCUCCUUUGCCAUCAUGCUCACUCAUCUCUGCAGAGCCGGGAACUGGUCAAGGGCGCGGCAUUAUUUCACAGAGAUGCUUCAGAAGGGGUUUCUCCCAGGCUCUGCUUCUCUCACGGCGGUUUUUGCUUGCUGCAGUAAGGUUGGGACCAUGUCUGAGCUUCGGCGGCUACUGUCUUUCGCGCAUGUUUCUGGUUGCCAGCUCACCUCAGCCAUGUGGACAUGCAUGAUUGCUCGUCUGUGUCGCGAGGGGAGACUAGACGAUGCUUAUAGGAUUCUGGCAAAGAUGGUGGGUUCUGGUUCUCCUCCCACGGUGAUCACUUACACACCCCUGCUCAAAGGUUUCUUGCGAGCUGGGAUGCACGACCUGGCCAGCGAGCUUCUGGGAUCCAUGGUGUCUGCUGGCUGCAGCCCAGACAUUGUUAUGUACAACGUUCUGAUGGACUGCAUGGUCAAGGCAAGGAGAUAUGAUGACGCCCUGGACAUUUACAUGCAAAUUCAUGGGAGACAGAUACAGCCAGAUGCUUACACUUUAUCUAGUUUAGUUCGGGUCUUACAAUUGUCAUCUUAUGAAAGGCUUCUUCCCAGGAUUCCUAGCUUGAUUCGGCACUCAGAUACUUCUUAUGAUCUUGUGGUCUGCAAUUCAGUGCUGAGUGCUUUAUGCAAGUCAGGUUUUCCAACAGAUGCCAUCCAGUUCUACUUUGAUAUGAUUGAAAAGAACAUCAGGCCAGACAGCUACACUUACGUCAGUUUAUUGCAUAGCCUUUGCCAAUUGGAAAUGGUAAACCAUGCAAUCAAUUUCUACCGCAGUACUGCUAUGAGAGAUCCUGAAUCAAAUUCAUAUGUCCAUGCAACCAUCCUCUGUAUCCUUGUUAGACAGGGCCGGAACCUUAUGGCCUUAAGAAUUUUGAGGGAGGCUGUACGUGAAAAUUGUGCUCUUGAUGCUGUGUGCUACACUACUGUUUUACAUGGUCUUUUCCAAGCUCGUCUGGUGGAAGAGGCCUGCAGGCUAUUUGACCAGAUGAAACAAUUAGGAAUGGCAUCCAACACUUGUACAUACAACGUAAUGCUUCGUGGACUUUGUAGGACCAGGGAUAUUUGUGCUGUCAAACAGUUGCUAACAGAAAUGGAACUUGCUGAUGUUGAGAUGGACAGCAUAUCAUUCAACACCGUAGUUGUGUUCUUAAUUAAAUCAAGGCUUAUUGACUCAGCUGCUGCAAUGAUCAGAGAAAUGCUGAAUCUAGGCAUGAAACCUAGUGCCAAAACUUCCUCAUUACUUUCUCAGUCUGUUGGCUAUAAAUUUGUUCUGGAGGAUAAUACCACAACCACAGUUGAAAGUGAUGGUUCUGAUUCAUCCAGUGAUCUCCUUGUAUGCUCAGCUUCAUAGGCAAAAAUAUUUCAGCUGAACAAGCAUACUGUUACAUAGGUGCGUAUAAUUGCAUGCAGAUACGCAGUACUUAAGGAUGAUGAGUACCCAAUGACUUUGCUUGUGACAUUCAACAGUAACUAUUACAGUUCUAGCAUAGCUGUUCACUUAGAUAUGAACUUUUCAAAUAUCCUGUUAUUAUGUUUGGUUUGGUCCUUUUGUUUCUUAAUCUCAGUGUUAACUAUUUUAGCUAAUGUUUAGGCAUAGAAUGUGCUUACCUUGUAAUGGCAAAUGUAGAGUGAAAUCUUUGGUAUGGCAGUGUGAAUUUGGAUGUACCCGAUAAUGGAAAGAGCUACACUUGUUAUCACACUACAAGUAGCAUUAGCAACCUGUAGCAUCAUCACAAAACCGAUUCAUUCUAUGGUCAUAAAUCUAAAUGUUCCUGCACAUUGCCAAAUGCCAACCCAAACGUUAAGGAAUCCAUACCAUUAAAUAGCCAAUUUUGCUAUGUGGUCUCAAUCUGUUGUACUUACCAAUUAAAAAUCGAAGAAAACAUACAAUAAACCGCUGUUUUUGCUAUCUAUUCUUGCUGUACUGUAAUAAGUACUCAAUUGUCCUCAGUCAUUGUGAUCAUUUUUCAAUUAACAGUGACAUAGAUAAGAUGCCUUCUUAUAUAGUCAUGCUCACAAUACUUUAUAAUCUUAUUUACUUGGAAGCUAGCCACUGAUUAGUUCCUGGGGAAGGGAAUUCCUCCGGCUGCUUAGAUCAAGUGGCUGCUCAUCUGAUCUUUGUGGUCGAUCCUCACAUGCUACUGCUGCAGCUAAUUCUUGUUUCCAUUUUUUUUGUUUUUGCAGUACUAUCUGCCAGAAUCCAUCUAUCAUUUGCGGUGUUCUUUUCGGAGGAAAAUCUACUAGGGUGAAGUGCUUGUGGCAAUCAAUCAACUUUCUGGUAUACAUAUGUAUGUCUACUUUUAGUAACUCUAGAAGUGCAGCUUAAUUGAGUCUCGUUAAAUUUUCUGAACUUCUUUUACUGGUUGGUUGGUUUGUUUUAGCAGAUAUGCUCUGUAAGUAGAGAUGAGCAUGUGUUCCCAAGGUGAGCAUAUCUGAAUUAUCAUUGGAUGGUAAUAGAUUGGAAGGACUGUUCUUGAUAUCCUUUGGUUUUACUCUGGUAUAUGUUAGUGAGUUAGUUGCCCUUUAUACUGCUGAGGAAUAGAGCCAUCUGCACAGUUCUAUUUGGUGCAGAAAAUGAGUGCUCUGGUAUUAUGAAUAUUGGAUCUCUUUGCGAACUUGCAGUUUAGGGGGAUUACACUUCAGAGAUUUUGCAACAUGACCUAUGCACUUAAUUUGAGAGAAGCUGCAGCACCUUUAUCUUGAAAUCGAUUUUGCUUAUGUUUUCUUAAGAAAUAAGAUAUUUUUUCGAGAACUGCUCUGGUAGACUUCUUUUAGAAAAUUACAUGCAUCUUAGAGCAUCUCCAACAGCUUAUCUAAAAUGGUUUGCUAUACCUAAAAACUACCCGAAUAGCUAAAAACAGUUAAAAACUGCUCCAACAGCAUACCUGUAUGGUUUGCUAUACCUAAAAUUUUUAGGCUAUGACCUAAAUUUCUCUCUCCUUGACCCAAAUAUACCAAUCCAACUCCUGGAUUGCUAUAUUGUGCUUCCACCUGGCCAAGUCAGCCAACUGCGGCCGCGUGAGGUUUCACCACUGCGCCGCUGUUGCCACGCAGCUCGCUCCACCGCAUCUAGCCACCGGACUUCACCGUCGCCUUGCCACCGCCCGGCCUCACCAUCUCCGCUCCCAAUUGUCCCUAACCGGACCUUGCCCGAUCCUCCCCGCACCAGCCCAGGAGCUUGAGCCCCGUUCGAUGCGGGUGACCGGCUGACCGCGCCGCCUCCGCCUCGCCGGACCCUUCGCCGCACAACCUCCCAUCUUGACUGGAGCUCGAGAGAAGGAGAGGAUGGCCGGAGUGGCUGACCCGCCUCCAUGGUCGACUGGAUCUCGAGAGGAGGCAAAGCUCGCCGUGAGGGUUUUGAAGGCCGUCCGUCGCUGAUUCAUCAUCCACCCCUUCGAUUCCCAGUGGAGAAAGAGCGGAAGACGCCGAUUCGAGCGGAGAGCCGGAGGAGCGGCACGACUUCGGCCGGAGCAACGGCUUGGGGAGAGCAGGAGGAGGAGGCGACGGGGGAGAGGAGAGGUGAAGGAAGAAGAUAAGUCAUUUUUACAGUUUGGCCCUUUAAAAAAGAUUCUCAUCACAAACUAGUCCCCAAAGGAAAUAUAGGUAUCCAAGUUUAGGUAUGCUGUUGGAGAUGAGCUCAAAGAUUUCCUAAAAUCUUCUCUCUCCUAUACCUAAAACUCAUUUUAGGUGUCUAAAUAUACAUAUGCUGUUGGAGAUGCUCUUAAAGCAAUCCCGUGAUUAAUUAACUAUUUUCUUAAUUAUUUUCUACCUGGGCUGGCCUGGUCCUACCUGCGCACAACCCCUUCCCAGCCCGUGCUCAGCCGAUCUCAACCUUCCUCAGAAUACCCUUUCUUCGGUCUUUGUUCAGGCAAGGAGCAUGGCAGCGCUCGACGACAGGGCUUUCCAGUUUCCACGGCAGCGGCCCUACACACGCGAGCAUCUCUUCCUUACGGAUGUCUGCCGCUGGCUCAUGGCUGUCUAGGAGCUCAGCCAGGACAGCCACCAUGACAACUGCGUCAUGGAAGCCAGCACAGGUGCUGGCGACAAGGCAGUACCCUCUGAAAUCAUGGGAGUUGUUGCAUCCCAGGCAUUGGCGAGGAGGCGGAUGCCAUGGAGAGUCCACGACGCGGCACUCCACAGCAGCGGGGCAUCGACAUCAGGUAUGCCUCUCGUACCUGAUUUGCAUUUCCUGUUCCCUUAUGUUUCAUUUGGAAGCUGCUCAGUUUCUCAGAUGACAACCAAGUUCCUCAGUUGCAGAGAUGAUUCAGUUCUGUUCUCUGUAGACACUGCCAAUGCAGGUCCAGGUCCAAAUUCUUAGCCAGUUUACACUGAUGGUGCUUUCAAUCUAUUCCAUGCUGGACAUGUUGAGGUAAAUGUGAAUUCCUUUCCACAUGCCCACCCAACGGAAAAUAUGAAAAGAAAGAGUGUCAGCUAAGUCAGUUUAGGGACACAAAUGCCUGUGAUGGCUUUACUUCUAUUUUUCUUUUUGUGUCUUUGCGAGGAGCAAACUAAAAUUAACCCUCCAAAACAGUGAUUCGUAUAUUCUUGUAUUUAUAGUUUCUUCCACGUAGAUAUUACGGCUUGCUCGAGAACUUGGAGAUUUUUUGCUUGUGGGAAUUCACAAUGAUCAGGCCAUACAAGGUAGUAUGAUGAUUACAGUAGUCCUUGAUUAUAGUCAGAGUGCAUUUAUUUUCAAGCUCUACAUCUCUAAUCACCCAUAAACAUAACUUUAACCUAUUUUUCUUUUGGUGUUUACUAUAUUUGGCAGUUCAACGCGAGGACGACAUCACCCAAUCAUGAAUCUCCAUGACCGAAGUUUGAGUGUUUUGGCUUGCCAUUAUGUUGAUGAGGUGAUCAUUGGUUCUCCAUGGGAAAGGUGUGGUGAGUUAUCUGUUCUGUUUUGAACCAUGGAAUUAACUUCAAGCGGGCAACCAAGGCUUCUUCAGAGAACAAAUGAAUGGCACACACCUUACCCUGUGUAUGAGAAAUCAUACCAUUUCAAUCUGUUUUUACUGAUGGAGAGCUUGUCCUCGUCGUGUCAUUGGCAUGAAUUCUGAUCACCUGUUUGAUCCAUGGAUGCAGCCAUGUCCUUGCCGCGCAAUCCACAUUCCUGCGGGACUCAGACAGUGUUGGUGAGCCUGAAUAGAUGGGCAGCGAUGCGCUGAACUAUGCGGGUUUUGCUCCAUCACAUUCGUCUCUGGCUUCGGGAACAGCCUGAACAGCCUCUCGGUAGUCUCUGGUUGACGCUAGCAUGAACUACUCUGUGUUCGUUUCUGUAGCUUGCCAAUAAUACUAGUGAACAAAGGCCUGGUGCAUCUUGUGUGUACUUGUUUGUUUGAAUGUUGUGCUGUAUUUUUAGCUGAAUGGUGUGCUGGUGCUUCCUGUAAGGUUUCAAAAAUUGGUCUGUAUUUUUAGCUGAAUGUUGUGCUGCUAUAGGCUGCAGUCUUGAAGUCAUUCUUAUCAUGCAGGUGAAGCUUGUUAUUCUGGGACCACCGACAACAUCGCCCGCCAGGAUCACUGGUGAAACUGCUUGUGUUACUGUUACCCAUCUAUGUACUUGUACCCUUCAAAUUCAGACUUUUAGUAGUUGAUGUUAUCUUCAUGCAACCUACAUAGCCUGAUGUUGAUUCCAGUCGUCGUGGACUCUCCAUGGCGUCUGCAGUGUCCACCUCGCCGGCGCCGGCGGAUGCACGGCGCCCACGCUUUCAGAAGGUACUGCCUCAUCGGCAGCGCCCACGUGUCGUGCACAGCCGUCGCCCUCGACCUUGAUGGCCAGGAGCCGGCGGCGGCUGCCGGCCAUGUCGCUUUUGCCUCACGCAGAGAUGAAAAGAGACAGAAGAAAGGGGAUUGACUCAUCCAUGACGUGGAAGUUUUUAACUGACACGUAAUCAAAUGAAAUGAAAUUCUAGCUCUCAAGUGCGGAAGAGUUUUAUAGGCAUAAAAACUCAUUUCCUACCUUACGAAGGACGAGAUCGAGCUGGGCAUGGGCGUCGCGACCAAAGCACAGCGGUAAAAGAAGACGUGCUACAGGCCGACUGCCGCUGCUCCCGAUUUGUUCACUCGCCGAGCACGGAAUGGAAUCAUACGCUGUCAGUGCGCCUUCUGUCAAGCAAGCAGCAAGGGAGACAGCAAAGGAAGCUGGGCCUCGCCGUUCCUCUCAGCCCAUCGUUCCAAACGUGCGUGUCUCUGGCUCAGAGUGGAGUUGGCCCAUGUAAGGUGUUGCGUGCGUGAGUUGCUCUACUCAGGAUAACAGGCGGCGAAGAACAGCGCAUCGUUGUAACGACUCAGAACUAUGUUCUAUAUGAACCUUCCUUGUUCUUCCUGAUCUUCUUCUCCAACGCCGCUCAAUCCCUUCCCUCUAAUUCGAUUGCUAACAUCCUGGUAUCAGAGAUGCGAUCCUAGAUUCCCUCCCUCCCUACCACCACUUCACUCGAUUUCAGAAGCGCGCGGGUGCUAUGGAUCCCAACACCAAAAUUCUCCUCGAUGAGAUCCAAAAAUGCUUCUCCAAUGAGCUCCACAAGCGAUUCACGAAGAGCGACCUCAAGUGGGAGCAGCACUUCCAGAAGGCGGAACGCCUCCACGGCGACCGCAUCGUGAAGCUGGAGUCGAUGGCCAAGGCGUUCGAAGACUAGCGUCCUCAGGUCGAUGCCGCCGUGGACGACGUCAAGCUCGAGCUUGGCAAGCUGACGCACCACUAGGACCAAUCCGUGCGCGACCUCGCGUCCAUGGAUCCGAGCCUUAUUCCCAAUCCCAAGUCGGCGUUCGAGCGCCCACCUGCUACGGAUCCAAGCGCCGACGGCCCUCAUGGGCACCGCGUCGAAUCGAUUCACCGGGAUGAGGGGUUUGGGUCGAUGUACACCCAUACUCCAAUCCCCGGUCAAGGGUGCGUGUCCUUUGCCCAAUCCUACUUUCCCUAGAUCAGCUUCUCGCUCUUAUGGGGUCAUCAGGAUAAUUCUCUAGUUUACAUCUAGGCAAAUUACCUAAGCUUCAGUUUCCUGUUUUUGAAGGCGAAAAUCCUAAGCUUUGGUUGUCUAGAUGUGAGGAUUACUUUGAGAUGUAUAGAGUCGAUCCAACUAUUUGGGUUAAGGUGUCUAUUAUGUAGUUUGAUGUGUCUAGUCCUGCUGCUCGUUGGGCUCUAUCUGUGGACAGACAGUUAAAGAGGUCCUCGUGGUCUGAAUUUGGCUCUAUGUUGAUUGACAGAUUUGGGCGGGACCAGCAAGAACUUCUAAUCCGGUAAUUGUUUCACAUCAAGCAAUUCAGAACUGUGUUUGAUUAUGUUGCCAAGUUCACUGAAUUGAUAGAUCAACUCAUAGCUUACGGCUAUACUACUGAUCCACUAUACUAUACCACACGUUUCAUUGAUGGCAUGCGUGAUGACAUUUGUUCAAUUGUUCUGGUUCAGCGUCCCUCUACACUCGAUAUUGCUUGCACUCUUGCGUUGUUGCAGGAAGAAGUGGCGGAUCCCUCCAGAUGCAGGGAUUGGCGUCGUCUGGAUGCAUGCUUUCCACCAAGACCUCCUCCUCGGGGACCAUUGCCCCUUCCCGCUCCACCGUGUAUUGAUAAAAAGCUGUGGCACCGUCAACUGUUACUGCAGAUGUCUCUCCCUCAAAGGACUUCAAUAAGUCUCAGGUGGACAAAUUUGCCUCUCUUCGUGCUUACAGACGAGCUUGUGGGCUGUGUGACAAAUGCACUAAGAAAUGGCAUCAUGGCCACAAGUGCUCUCCUACUGUCCAACUAAAUGCCACUCAGGAAGUUUUUGACCUGUUUUCUGAAGAGGAUGUUGUCUAAGGUCCUAACACUCACAGCUGUGCUGGUUCUGAUCCUCACCUACAUGAGCACCUUUUCAGGGCUCAGUCCAAAGAUGCAUUAGAUGGUACCAAAGGCCCUCGGACAAUGAGGCUGCUGGGAUCAAUUCAGAAUCACCAGAUGACAAUCUGAGUUGACUCUGGUAGUUCUCACACCUUCAUUAGUCAGCAGCUUGCUUAGAAAUUGGAUGGAGUGGAACCUCUAUCUGGCUCUAUUCGGGUUCAGGUCGCUAAUGGGGUUGUUCUACAGUGUGUUUCACACAUUCCAACCGGUAGAUGGUUUGUGCAAGAGUAUAGCUUUAUCUCUGAUAUCAAAAUCAUCCCUCUGGACCACUAUGAUCUCAUAUUGGGAAUGGAUUGGCUCGAGAUGUUUAGUCCAAUGAAGGUUCACUGGAAACUUAAAUGGAUGUCCAUUCCAUACCAAGGUUCUGCAGUUGUGUUGCAUGGCAUUUCCUCCUAUGAUCCUGAUACUCUCAUGGUUCAGGUCUGCCCUUUAGCUUCCUCUCAGCAAGAGACUCCCAAGAUUUAAGACCUCCUCCCUCCACAACUUGCUGCAUUACUCUCUGAAUUUGAAGUAGUCUUUGCUCCUGUGGAAGGCUUGCCCCCUCCCAGGUCCUUUGAUCACUCUAUACCAUUAGUUCCUGGAGCUAAACCUGUCUUUAUCAGGCCUUACAGAUACCCACCAGCUCUCAAAGAUAAAAUAAAGAAACAGAUCCAAGAGUUGCUUGACAAAGGGAUCAUUAGACCCAGCAAUAGCCCCUUUUCUUCUCCACUGCUCCUAGUCAAUAAAAAGGAUGGCUCUUGGAGACCUUGUGUUGAUUACAGAUAUCUCAAUGCACUUACCAUUCGUGGCCAAUUCCCUAUACCUGUCUUUGAUGAACUGGUUGAUGAACUUGCUGGAGCCAGUUGGUUUUCUUCUCUGGAUCUUAAUUCUGGAUUUCAUCAAAUCAGAAUGAAAGCUGGGGAAGAAUUCAAGACAGCCUUUCAAACUCAUUUUGGCCAUUUUGAAUUCAUGGUGAUGUCUUUUGGUUUAUGUGGGGCUCCUGCCACAUUUCAAGGUGCUAUGAACUCUACCCUCAAGUCUUUACUCAGAAAAUAUGUCCUAGUAUUCUUUGAUGACAUCCUAGUUUACAGCAAAACCUUUGAGGAUCACCUUAUGCAUCUUAGAGUUGUCCUUCAACUACUGGCUGAUGACAAGUGGCAAGUCAAACUGUCAAAGUAUUUUUUUGCUAAGAGGCAAAUUUCUUAUCUGGGUCGCAUUGUUAGUUCAGAGGGUAUUUCUACCGACAACAGCAAGAUCACUUCAAUUACAAAUUGGCCAACACCAACUAAUGCCAAAGAAUUGAGAAGUUUCUUAGGCCUUGCAGGCUAUUACAGGAAGUUCGUCAGACAUUUUGCAACCAUUGCUAAGCCCUUAACUUCAUUGCUCAAGAAACACACCAUUUUUGUGUGGACUUCACUACAUCAAGAUGCCUUCGAUGCUCUCAAGAAUGCACUUAGCACAGCUCCUGUCCUGGUAGCACCAGACUUUUCUAAACCAUUUUGCUUGGAAACUGAUGCUUGUGCUUAUGAAAUUGGAGCAGUUCUUGUUUAGAAUGGGCACCCAUUAGCAUAUAUCAGCAAACCACUUGGGCCCAAAACAGCUGGCUUAUCUACAUAUGAGAAAGAAUACCUGGCAAUCUUGAUGGCAGUAGAAUAGUGGAGGUCUUACCUGCAGCAUGGAGAAUUUGUGAUCUACACUGACCAAAGAAGCUUGAUACACUUGUCUGAUCAAAGAUUGGGUACUCCAUGGCAGCAAAAAAAUUUUACCAAACUACUGGGUUUGCUGUACAAAAUAGUGUAUAAGCAAGGUGCUUCCAAUAGGGUGGCUGAUGCCUUGUCUAGAAGGCCACAUUCUAUCCCUCAACUGUGUGCUGUUUCCAUUUGUGAACCAUCAUGGACUUCUUCUGUUAUACAAGGCUACUCCAAUGACAGUUACACACAAGACAUUCUUACUAAACUUGCUAUCUCCAAGGAUUUUGUGACUAACUUCACUUUGCAAGAUGGAGUUCUCAAGUUCAAGGGAAGGUUGUGGAUUGGCAAUAACCCUCCCCUUCAAUUGCAAAUCUUGUCUGCUCUCCAUUGUGCUCCUGUUGGUGGUCAUUCUAGGUUCCCAGUAUACAGGCGUAUCAAACAGUUGUUUGCUUGGAAGAAUAUGAAAGCAGCUGUCAAAGAGUAUGUGUCACACUGCCACAUUUGUCAGCAAACCAAGCCUGAUAGAUCCAAGUAUGCUGGCCUCCUGCAACCUCUCCCAGUCCCUUCUUCAGCAUGGCAAGCCAUUACUAUGGAUUUUGUAGAAGGACUUCCUCCAUCUCCAAACAAAAACUGCAUAUUGGUGGUGAUGGACAAAUUCACUAAAUAUGGUCACUUCAUUCCUCUUGCACACCCCUUCACUGCUGCUAUUAUGGCAAGGACUUUCUUUGACAACAUAUACAAGCUCCAUGGCCUGCCAGACUCUAUUGUUUCAAACCGUGAUAAGAUCUUUACAAGCAACUUCUGGCAAGAGCUCUUCAAACUUGUCAAUGUUUCUCUCAACAUGAGCGCUAGUUAUCAUCCGCAGAUAGAUGGUCAAACAGAAAGGGUGAAUCAAUGACUGGAAACCUUCCUCAGGUGUUAUGCUCAUGCCUGUCCAUCAAAGUGGUUAGACUGGCUGAGCCACGCGGGGUUCUGGUACAACACUUCUUCCCAUUCAGCUCUCGAUUGUUCACCAUUUGAGGCACUAUAUGGUUACACUCCAAAAACUUUGGGUAUCCUUCCUUCAUCACACCAGCAAGCUCUUGACCUCAUCUCCUGGAUGGAAGACAAGAAGCUCAUGUAUGCUCUCUUGCAACAACAUUUGCAUCGGGCUCAACAACGCAUGAAACAUCAAGUUGACAAAAAUAGGCAAGAGCGUACAUUCCAAGUGGGUGAUUCUGUAUUUCUAAAGCUACAGCCAUAUGUGCAAUCAUCUUUGGCGCCCAGAGCAAACCAGAAAUUGUCAUUCAAAUUCUUUGGGCCGUUCAAGAUUUUGAGCAAGAUUGGACCUGUUGCUUACAAACUGGAUCUCCCAGCAUCUGCUUCAAUCCACCCGGUCUUUCAUGUCUCUCAACUGAAGAAAGCCCUUCCAUCAACUCAUCAGGUAUCGCCUUCCAUCCCAACUAUUUUAGAUUCAAGGCAAUUUCCUGAACAGAUCCUGGCUAAGAAGAUGCUGUCCCAGGGUUUUUCUUCAGUGCAACAAGUACUGAUCAAAUGGUCCGGCUAGCCUGAGUCUUUGGCAACUUGGGAAGACAUGGAGGCGCAACAUCAACGUUUUCUAGCAGCUCCUGCUUGGGGACAAGUAGGUUCAUUACAGGGGAGGGGGGAGUGUCAGUGCACCUUCUGUCAAGCAAGCAGCAAGGGAGACGGCAAAGGAAGCUGGGCCUCACCGUUCCUCUUGGCCCACCAUUCCGAACGUGCGUGUCUCUGGCCCAGAGUGGAGCCGGCCCAUGUAAGGUGUUGCGUGCGUGAGUUGCUCUGCUCAGGAUAACAGGUGAGCGUGGCGAAGAAUGGCGCGUCGUUGUAACAACCCAGAACUUUGUUCUAUCUGAACCUUCAUCGUUCUUCCUGAUCUUCUUCUCUAGCGCCGCUCAAUCCCUUUCCUCUAAUUCGGUUGCUAACAUACGCAUAAAGGUCCAACCCACAUCAUGCAAGAUAGAGGAACUAGAUAACAAGCGGAUGUAAGAUACGACCAAAACAAUAUUAAUUUAUAUUUUUCUGUAUAUACUACCUAAACAAAUUAAAUAUCUUCAUGAUAAAAUUAAAUAUCUUCAUGAUAGGAUUAAGUUAUAUUUUUUCUACCUCAAUUAAAAUCAACAUGCAUGAGAAACGAACGGGGUCUACACGAAGCAAUUGAAACCAUAACGAAUGCUUCGGCUACGCAGGAAAGGUUACUACCUCGACACUUUAUUAAAAAUAACGUGAAUCCUAAACAGAGAGGGCUCUCAAUUUAAGCUUAUCACGAGAACCGUCCCGAUUUGGUAAUCAAAGAAAGUGAGAAAGACAGAAAAGGGAAAAGAAUGAGAAAAGUAACAAAUCAAGAGAAGGAAGUAACACUUCCUCCAUCGAGCGCCUCGUCUUCUCCAGCGAUCUCCUCCAUCUUCGGCAGUUGGUGGGUGAAGUGGCCGGUGGCGGUGGAGGAUGGCGGAGUUAGGGUUAGGGUUCGGGUUUGGGGUGGGGAAGAACUCCAUGCCCGCUGAACCUAGAGGGACCGGGGGCGUCUUGCCGGACCGAUGGCGGUGGUGGUGGUUGGGCCAAGUCGGUGGUGGGGACGCCAUGUCCGUAGUGGUUAGCGGCGGCGGCGGGUGUGUGGGUGGUGGGUUCGGCGGCUAGGAGGGGCAGCGGGGGCGGUAGGGGAGUUGGGAAUUUGGUGAGGCGUGGGAGAAGGGGAGGGGCGGUGGAGGAGCAUGGCGGACCUCGCCGACGUCGGAGGUGGCACCGGCGAGGCGGAGGCUGGCCGCGGGCGGAUCGGCGCAGGUGAUGUGUGCGAGGAAAGAGUCGUGCGGGUCGCGAAGUCGCGAGGAUGAUGAAGGGAUAAGGUACUGCAGCACGGGGUGGAUUUCGUGCACGUUAGCGCGUGGGUCAGGCUACCAGGGGCUCUCGGCGUAAUGCUAACGCGAGAGGGUCCUGUGUGUAGUUGCCUCUUUAUAAGAACAUAAAAUGGCUUAGCCCAAGUGGUGGGAAUUGUCCAAUGAGAGAUGAGGAUUGCGGGUUCUAACCCCUUCCAACCAGUUUUUGAUGGUUUUCUGGCGCGUCAGUUUUCAGGCUUGUUGUCGCCGUCGCCUGUUUCGCCCGAUCCGUGUGGAAGUGGAUGGCGAUGGCGUGCAGCCUGUCUGUGUCGGGUAAGUCCUUGUUCUUCGUUUCUUUUUCAUUUUGCUUUCUUUUUCUUUAUUUUAUUUUUCUUUUUUCUAUACCUUUAGUUAUUCUAUUUUCUCUUUUUUCUUGUAAUCAUCUUGUUUGUCAGGUGGAACUAUUUUGCUCACAUGUACCUAGAGUAGAAUACCCCAAUAAAACUUAAGGUUGAUUAUAAUGUGAACAUGUGUGGGAGAUCCUUUGAACGGGACGGAUUGUUGAGCCACAUGGUUGCGUGUAGGUGAUAAAAAUUAUUUUCUUAGCUGGUACAUUACGUGCUCGUGCCUUGGCAUGGGUCGACAAGGGGUUUUAAGUAUAUCACUUUUAGUUUUAAAUUUCUAUCUAUAUUUUUGUAUUUGCAACUUUGAAUUUUCUUCAUGUAUUUAUAAAAGUUAAGUUGUUUGCUGUGUGUUUUUCCUUUUUCACAAAGUUUCUCUAAACAUUAUUUCUAACCAAUCAACCGUGGCACUUUUCACCCACAUAUAACAUUUCUCCUCUUAUAAAAACGAAUAGUUGUCAUGCUUUGUUUCUCCCCUUCUCGGCAAAUAAAUAAAAAAGAGCAAAAGACUCCAGCUAAUGGUUAUAGCACCUAAGUAGCAUUGGCUAAGUUCAAAUUAAACGGUCUAGAAUAAAAAAUUACAUAAAAAAUAGGUGAGGCUUCCCGACUGAAUUCAAUCAAAUAAAUAAUAAAUAAGAGAAAUAUAGCUUUUAUUCACAUAUUCAAAAAAAGUUUUAUUUGUUCUACACUUUCAAGCAAUAACUUAAGAAGUCAUCUGAAUUGAAACAACCAUGAGAAUGAAUCCCUCCUAACAAAGGUAAAAGAAAGAAAAAUGUCUGGGCCACGAAGAGAUCGCAUAGAUAUAUGUACAAUUGGUCAUAAAAACAGUAUGCUGAUGUAUAGUUCAAAAAGACCUAAAUCUGAGUUUCAUCUUUAUAGUAGUACUAAUUUAUGUCUCUUGUCCGGCAAUGAUACAGUAUCCAACUAUCAUCCACUAGCCUUCAAAAGCCAAAGAUUACGUGCCUAACAAUCGUCCACGUGCCUAGCAAUCGUCGAUUAGCAGCUGGUUUAAUAAUUUACUAAAGGAACAUUUCCCUCUUAACCGUGGUUGGUAGGCAGUGGGUAGUGUGGGCUCCACGUCACAGUAUUUCGAUUAUCCUCCUCCCCAUGAGGGUGACUGCCUCUCCAUGGCUAUUUGAAGCCCCUUCUUCCUCGGUGCAUUGCAAUUGCAAGCAUGGGAAGGGAGAACGGAAUGGAACACGAACAGGAGCUGCCUUCAUCGUCUUCCUCCUUGGGCUACCUGAUGCAGUGCAGGAUCUGCCAUGAGGAGGAGGACGAGGUGUGCACGACCAUGGAGUCUCCAUGUGGGUGCUCUGGUUCUCUCAAGGUAAUAGGAACUUGCAUAAUUUUGAUACACAUAAUGCUUAUUGGUCUGUGUUUCUUUAGGUAACUCCUUGCUUGAAACUAUUAGUGAUGGUGUUUUGAUGUUGAUACGCUAUGUGCAAUUGUUGGCGUCUAUGCACGCAGUAUGCUCACAGGGGAUGUGUGCAGAGAUGGUGUGAUGAGAAGGGGAGCACCCUCUGUGAGAUUUGCCUUCAGGUUGGUGUAUCCGCAUACUGUUCUUCAAUUUUCUUGUGAAAAAUUUUCCUUCUUACUGUACUACCAGCGAAAUGUCGCGCUGUACUUCUUGAGGGUUGCUAAAAAGUUGUAGUGGGUGAAGGUGAUAAACUAAGCUCACUUUACUUCAUUACAUGGACUGUAAUCAAGGGUUGACAUGUACAUGGUUCGUGAAACCUAAGCAAAAGACAUUUCUUUUGGGGUGAACAAAGGUGGUCUACCUUUCAGCCGUAAGCAAGUGCAAUGUAGUGCAAAAUAUUAGUUACCUUGUGUCCAACUUCUUCAGCAAUGACAUGUGAAUCAUAGCACACUUUACAUUGCAGCCAAAAGAAAACAUUCUGAAUCAUUCUUUUGAUUUAUGCAUCUUUUAAAAAGGACGGAAAAUGAUUUUUUUUCUGUUGCCAGAAUUUCGAGCCAGGCUACACCAUGCCUCCAAAGAAAACUCCGGUGGUCGAAACGGCAGUCACCAUCAGGUAAAUCACUCUAUAUACAACACACACACACACACACAUUCUGUGUGCAUUGUCAAUCUGGGCACAGGCUGAUGGAUAACAACAAUAUAUGCCCUAGCUGAUCACAGUUAAGCUUAGCUCGCCAGUAUCAUGCAACUGCCAUCUCAUCCAGCAGCAGCAACAGAGAUGCCUGCCCUUCAACGGAAACAUACAGAUUAUUAGGUAGCACAUUGUUUUCAGACGACCAUCAUUCAAACCGCGACGAAAGCGAUUAGCUAGGGUGCUAACAACCGAGGGUUGAUGAGAUCUGAUCCAUGUCACCAUUAAACAUUUUAAAUGGCCAGCCAGGUAGACCCAAGUGGCCAAGACCCCACAGGCCAAGCAUAUCUUUCCCAACUCCCAUCCAGGUACAACAGCAUCUGGAGCACCCAGCAUGUAAGAUCCAGCAGCAACACACAUCUAAAAUAUGCUCAGCAGACCUAGGAAGAAUUGCAGUUUGGAAACUAAGUAACGACUAAUGCUUUCGCCAAGCUCAAGGAAAUCCUUAUAAACUUACGAGUACUACAAAGUAAGUGUACAAAAUAGUAGUCGUUAUUCCCUUAGUAAUAUGACAGGUACUGAUGAACACAUCGUCCAUUGCCACAAUGAACAGAAAAGACAGCUGCACUCAACGAUAUGACCUGUGAGCUGUGCUCAUGCAUUGGUGAGGAAGAGUGGUCCUGUCAAAAGCGUGUGUCCUAAACCAAAUCACACAAUGUCAAUGUACAUCCACCUCGCACCUCCAGCUAAGCCACUUGUGUCUUCAAUCACAAUACACAGCAUUAAUCCGUUGCAUCUUCCCGCAAGGGAGAAAGUUGUAUGUAUCACACUGAUUUACCAUUUGUUCACAAGGGCUUCAUUUACAGGAAAACCAGUUAGUAACUAGCUAUAACAAGAACUUAUUGAUGUUUUUCACCCAUAAGUCUCAGAUAAAAUUUUAAAUUGAAAAACUUAACUAGAUAUAAUUUAAAAAAAUGAAAUUUGCUUGUACAAACUUCCUACUUGCAAUCCUUUCGUUAAUUGAUCAUGCAAUGUUUCUCUUGCAGUGAACAUGAGGACAUGCAAUAUGUGGAAUCUUCGGAGAGCUUGAUUGACGAUGCAGAUUACGGCGCGUGCUCAGAUCAAGUUGCCACAUGGUGCCGGACACUGACAAUUAUGGUAUAAAAGUGUCUGCAUGCAGUCUCGUAGCGAACUAAAAUGUCUUUCUUCAAAACAAGUCCUGAUGCAUGGUGUCCCCUGGAUUCUAACUUACGCAAUCCUGUGCAGUUCACCAUUAUGCUGUUGGUGUGGCAUCUGGUUGCAGUGGUGAUGGUUGAAGCAGCAGAUCACUGCGCGUUCAGUCUCCUGACAGUGAGUUCAUUGACAUGGUCCCAGCUGAAAAAUGAGGAUCAGUACCUGAUUUGAUGGAACUAAUAGCUGAGGGAUAUAUUUUCUUUGCAGAUGUACUUGCUCCGUGCUGCUGGUAUCUUGCUUCCAUUCUACAUUGUCAUGCGGCUGAUUCGCAUGGUCCAGAGGGGGCAGCAGCAAUAUUGGUUGCAGAUGCUGGAGGUUAGUCCUGGCUUCCAUUCACUGAUUCCUUGGGGACACAGAUUAGUUGACUCGAAAUAUGCUGAGUUCUCUCUUUUUUUCAAUCUGUUUCUGCAGGACCAAAGAAGAAAUGCAUCAACUAUGAAUCAUAUGCAUGGCCAAGAGCAGCAGCAGCUAGUAAUGAGUAUUCAUUAAGCCAAUAAAUUUAACAAAUCAAAUAUAGAAGGUUGCACAGAUGUACAUUAUGUAUUGCCAGGGAACAAUUUUCAAAAAGAACAUCAUCUGUAAACUUUCAGUCUUGAAGUUGGACAGUGAAAGCAGCCACAUUUUGUUCAUGCAUAGUACUUUUUCCCUAAUGUACAUUGUGUAUUGCUGGGGAAUAUGUUCAAAUAGAACAUUAUUGUACACCUUUUGUGUGUGUGUGCGUGUGAUCUAGCAACUGCGUAAUUUAGUAGGGAAAAUUUUCGGUUAUCAAAAUCCUAAGUAGCCUCCAGAAAGGAGGAAAAAGCAAGCUGAGCACAGUACUACCCUACUACAUCAUUUAUCAUUUUGUAACCCUUUUCCCACUAGCAACUGGAGAAACUAAGCCAGAUAAUAAUAAAAAUGGCAGUUUUACACAACAGUUCAGAGAAAAAAAAAUGACCUGACAGUCAAUGAGACAAGAAGAGGUAAAUUACUGUAAUCUUGCUAAUACUCCGGAUGCAAAAGUUUCUCUUUGUGGUAGAACAAUCAUGCAUCCAGUUUGUCAGAUUAUUUUUUGACAUAAAGUAGUCCAAACACCCAUGAAAAUAAACCAACAGCACAGCCUGUACGAGGACCGCAGAAGUACCCUAGACACUAAAGAAGUCAAUGUCUAGCAGAUGCAGUUCUGAAGCAAAGAUUAGAAACAAAGCGUCCAGUUGUAUCUUGCGCAAAUUUAAGGCCCAAGAGUCAUGUCACUCUCACUAUUUUCAGGUCACUCAUACUCACCAAGUGAUCCAGACAGGUUAAUCCGGGAGUGGAGCAACAGAAAACAAGAUCUGCAUCUGCCAGGAUUGGAAUAAUUUGAGCACACCAAACAUGCAAGUCACAAAAUGGUGAAGCAGUACCCAGAGUCACGGGAUCUAACAAACUCAAUAGUAGAUAUUUGUUAACCUCAUACCAACCGAGUGCCAAGCUGGAAGCACCCACCACAUGCUACAUCGUACACCAAAAGUUUUGCAUGUGAUGUGAUACAUUUAUUAAGGUUUGUUGUCUUGUACUCUUGUGUAAAUCCAGUUACCGAAACAAGAGUAUAAGAAGACAGCUUCGUAACAAGAACUUGACAAAAAAAAAAAGUACAAUCCGAUGGAACUUCAAAUUUGGAGGGAUGAGAAAUUACCAACAUGUAAGUCAUCUCCACAAUCUGCAAUAUAGCCUAUAGAGGCCAAAAGAGAAC
rnacentral:lncRNA from 1 species